rnacentral:lncRNA from 1 species
AAAAAAAAAAAAAAAAACCUUUAAUCACGAUAACUUAUUUAUUCAAAAGAAACGAAAACUUGUAAACAAGUGGAAAGGAUUUUCUAAUUGAAUCUCAACUAAGCAAAUAAGCCUAUAGGACCUAUCUUAUAUAUACCUCUAAUACCAAUUUGUGACACCCCAAACAUACACAAUUAUUUAACAUAUAACACUCUAGAAAUUAUAACUGAAAUUGAGUAUUAGGUAAAGAAUCCUAAAUAAUCAAAUGUGAAGUAGUUUAUAAUAGAAACACCUUUCUUAUCCCAAUCUUUCCUCACCAACGUCACUUGUACCUGAAAAGGGAAUAAUUGAGAAGGAUGAAUUCUACAACUUAAUAAAGAAAAAUAGUUUAAUAAGAAGGAUCAACAUGAGAGAUGUCACAUCUUUUAUAAAAAUCAAUUAACAAGUAAUUUUAUUUUAUUUAAUAAUUCAAUUCACUUUCUUGGAAAAUUCAACAUUUUCAAUUUAAAGAUAAAACAACAUAAUAUACUAAAAAAAAUCAAUUCAUAUUUAAAAGAAUUUUAUAAAUAAAUUAUUUCCUCUAGUUCACUCAUAAUAACAUUGUCCAAAAAGUGGGACUUAGUACUACGUGGUUAACCUCGAAUUAUUCCUCAACUUAUUCUAAUUAAUGGUAUACCAAUAACCCCUUUAUUGACUAGGGUUGCAUUGGAUCAUUACCCCACCAAGGGUAAUGAUGAUAAAAAAACUUAUUCCCUAUUGACUACAAGCCCUAAUAACUAGAGUUUUAAAACCAUUAUAAUAAAUUAAACUAUAAAAUUCACUUGUAAAAUAACAAACAAAUCUUACAAUAUUCCCAAUUUAUUUAAUAAGCUAAGGAAUAAAUCCAAACAUAUUUAAUAUAUAUAUAUAUAUAUAUAUUAUUUGAUCCUCUUUAGAAAAUUCAAACAUUUUGAUAUUUCCAAGAACAAAUGAAAAAAUAGAUGAAAAAAAAAAAAAGAAAAAGAAAAAAUGACUUAUUAAACUAUUAACCCUUACCUCAAAGAAUCCUUCAAUUUCUUAAAAGAAUUAAUUCAUACUUUUAAAUUACAAAAUUAAACAAAUAUUGGAAUUUUUUUAUUUCCAAUUCUUCAAAUCAAAGUUUUCCAAACUUUUUGUUUUUUUUAGCCGCUAAAGUAACAAAAAUACCUCACUUAUAAUUUUUUUAAAACACAUAAAUAUCCCUAAAAUCUUUUAAAAUUUUCAAAGUAUAUAAACAUCCCUAAAAUCAAGGUAUGGAUGUUACAAAAAAAUAAUAUUUUCUGUGAUUUUUCUGUUUUUGUGCUUAAAGGUAAUAUUGCACAAUGAUAUAUAUAUAUAUAUAUAUAUUUAUGCCUAAAAGUAGUCUUUUGCCAUGACAAUAUUUUUGAACCUUUAUAUCUAAAAAUAACCUUCUACCAUGAAUAAUUAUUUGUGCUUAAAAAUAAUAUUUUCUUAUGACUGUUUUUCUUGAUGAAAAACAAUUAUAUACAAACUCAUAGCAACGAACUCACCAUGAAAAUUCUUUUGUGUAAAAUUACAUUUUUUAGGGACUGACUUAUUUUUGGUGGUGAAAGCUCAUAUUUGUUGCAGCGACUAUAUUGUAGAUUAUAUGGUGGCUCCUUGUUUACUAUCAAUUGCCUAGCACCAUAUCCAGGCACAUUCUUAAUCUAUGUCAUGUAGCUUGAAAAUAUUUAUCCUAUCCAUAUAUAGUGUGGAGGGGCACUAACAAGAUAUUGAUCGGGAUGUAUUGUAUCCUUAAACACUCGGAUCAAUAAUUUAAAUAAUUUUUUUUUGCACGUUAUUGUGUUUUUCCUAAAAGGAUGCAAUUGAAAAUGAUUGUGCAGUGGUAUCUUUUUUGAGAGCUCCUUCCAUUAUCCUUUAAAAUUCUUCUUUUUAAACGGAACACUCAAUGUGCAUUGAGACGUCAUGUUAGUAUGCAUAACUAAAUUCUUCUUUAAUUAAUGUUGAGACUUCAUUAGUUAACAAAUUAGCUAUGUAAACGAAUUAAGUCCAAUUUAACAAGUCCUGACCUGGCCGCCAAGUGAUGUUGCUUAACUGCAUUUGAACGACAAGAACUUGAAAUUUCAAAUUGCUGAUGGAUUCUAUCAAUUCCAAUGAAGGAGCUCUGAGAUUUUGAAUGCAACUAUUGACUCAAUAGUUAGGUCAAAGGGUCUAACUUUUAUUUAGACAUCCAACGGCCAAAAGGAUAAUGCCAUAUAUUAUGGUUAAACGAACCUUAGUUGGAACAUGAAAUAUACUGCAAUUUUAUGCGAUGCUUUGUUAACAGAUUUAUAAUGCACCAAAUGGAUAAGAAGUUUUGCAUUCUUUCCUUUGAAAAUAAGAUUCCCACUUUGCAAACUUUACUGAUACCACAACGAUCUGUCUGGGGCCCCACAUAAUUAAGUCUUCAGUGGCGGCGCAUUAUUUUGAUGAAUUAAUUAUAUAGCAUGCGGGAAAGGAAAGGAAGAUCAAGAGAUCUUCUCCACUAUUUAAUUUAAUUAGCUGUUUUCACAAAUCACUUGUUACGUGGAAGAUAGAAUGCAACAAAUCAACUUUGAUAUAACCCCACCCACAAUUAUAAGCAAUUGAAUGGUUGAGGUCAGCCAUGGAAAGAUAACAUGCAGCAGAUGAUGGUGAAGUUGAUUGAAUCCCUUUUUAUGAUUAGAAUAUGCAGAGCCUUUACCACUUAAGAAAUCAUCAACACUAUCUAUUACCAAUAUGCUUUUAAUAAAAACAAAUCAUCUCAAUCAUCAACACUAUCCAACACUAUCAAUAAAACCUAAUAAUGCACAACAUGACCAAAGAGAGAUGGUUAUGAGCACUCAAAAGCUUAGGGACAGGAGAAACGAAAUUUUCUUAAUUAAGGAAUUCCAAACUUUACAGCCCUGAAAUUCAGAAAGAAUGAUGUGGCCGACAUUGAAAAGUUGUUACAGACUAUGAUAGUUCUUUUAUGUGAGUGGCUUCCCGCAAUCUCGCUUAGCAUGGGAAGCUACCUAAAGUAGGGUGCUUAUAAAAUAAAUGUGUAACUUUUAGACCAUAAUGAUGGACUUGAAAAGAUUUAGACCGUUGAUAUUCUAUUCCGGAAAUGCAAAAGAGACAUUUCUAAGAGCUUAAAGCCAGGACUUAAGAUUAUGCUACUGAUAAAAUCUCUCUUCUAACAAUCUGUUUUAGUCGGCUUCCUGCACUGCUGCGAUCCUCUCAACAGUUCUUGGCAAUGAAAUUGAACGACUAAAAUCGAAAUUAAUAUUUUGAUCAUAAACUUAAAUGAUUUCAUAAAUGAGUUUUAUUUGGUGGCAUAUAGAGGUUUCGGGGAGCGAGCCAAACCCGUGACUAUUUCUAGGGUGAUGAAUGGACCCCCUCAAGUACUCUUGAGUUUUACAACAUGUUAAGUGAAUGAAUAGAAGCAUCAACACAUUUCUCAAGGGGUUGUAACAUACAUGUUAACUAGACCAAUAUUUUAGUGGAGAAAGAAAGACUGGAUUCGCAUGAACAAUGCAAUAAAAUGUCUAAGGGCUUGCAUUAAUUAUCUUCUAUUCUCACUUUCUCCUCUCAAAUGAAGAGUGAAUCAUGCAUAGUUCUACCACAUUUGUCUUUCAUUAGAUCAAACAGUUCUAUUAUUUGAACUCGUGUUUUUCCUUUGUUUGUCUUUUGUAAGAGUCUAGCUUCCAAUCCAUAGCAUACAUUUUUGGACAUUAUUUAUUGGUGGACAACAUUGCAGCGACAGCUAAACUACAUGACAAGUGACUAAAAUCAUUGAAUGAGAUAGCAUUACUUAUGAUAUACAAUCAAAUUUUCCUGAAAGCUCACUUCAUCAAAGAUAGCAGCUCCAAACCUAUUCACUGUAGAUUUUGAAUUUCCAGUGGCAGCCGAGUUCAUCUUAUUUCAAGAUCGGGACUGGUGAUUUGCUCCACUUAAGAGCAUCUAUGGUAAAAAAAUUUGCGAGUUCAGCAGUCAAAAUGAUCCAACUUCUCCAGAUUGAAAAAAACCAAUAAUACCAGUCAAUGUUAAAUGCCAUAUAUCUAGAGAAAGUAUCUUGAGCUUUCAACCGAAGCAAUAUGGAGUGAUUUCAUGGACUCUCUCCUUGACUGAACUAACACUUACUUGUAAUUCAGUAUAUAUAUACACAAGAGACCUCUUUGCAUCGCCAUAGAGAUAAGCUCUCCUAGAUCGUGCUACGUACCGUCAUAUUUUUCCAUAAUAAUGUAUCUGAGUGGGAACUCCUGAUUCUUUCCAGCUCGUUUACACGGGUCACAAAUUGGUAAGUUGUAAUAUAACUAGCUACCUUAAUAAAGAAGUAUAAAGAAGACUAGUAGUGGCAUUGGCAAGUGGCAAAAUUCAGGCCUAGAUGGCUAUUAAACAAGUACUUUCCUAGCUAUUUAAAAGCUCAAGGGACUGACUCCAUCUUUGCAAGACCCUAGUUGGGAUCUUAAUUCUGUGAGGCUUCUUGCAUCUUCUAUCCCCAUACAACAAUCAAUGGAAGUUCUCAGAAAGAAGGUCUUCAAGUCUAUGAGGGUUAUCAUCUUUGUCUUGGUGAUUCUUACAGCCAACGGAUAUGCUGCUUCAAGGCCCCUGGAACUGGGAGUGAGGAUUAGAAAUAGUUCUCUGGAAGUUUCAUCUAUAAGAGCUCCCGUCCCACCGUCCGGUCCUUCUCCAUGCACUCACAUAGGCAACAAUGGUGGCAGAGUUAUUGGGCGAUGCCCUAGUCAUGGAUGAACUUACCUCUGCCACGGUGCAACUCUCAGCUAAAGUAUAUAUAUAUAUAUAAUUAUAGAGCUUGCCUAAAGAAUUAAGUCUAAGAUGUUAUGAUUCUCUUAUGAUUUAAAUAUGAGCAUGUGAAUGUAGAUAAUUAAAGAUAAAUCUGAAGUCCUUGAGAUGGACUGAUUUUUCUUCUUUUUUUUUCUCUUUGUUUUUACCGUUUCUGUAGUUUCAAAAUUCUACUUGAAAAAACAGUAUAAUUAAUUAGCAACAGAGAGAGGAUGACAUACUUCUUCUUUUUUUUCUUUUUUUUCCUGUUCCGAACCAGAUAGUUAUCUUCUUCCAAAUGCAUGUAGAUAUUACAAUCCAUACGGUGGUACUACCUUCUCUCUUCUUUCUAAUUUCUGUGGAUGAUCUUCCAAGUUCCAUAAAAAACUCUUAAAAGGUUCAAGAUUGUAUUUCUAGUAUUAUAGUGUGUGGUGUGUGUACUUUUGCAGAUCUCUCCCUCCCUUUGAUGUUCUUCAGGAUUUCACAAAUUGAUUCGGUACUUUUGCAGAAUCCUGACCUGAAAUUUAAUUGUUUUCUUGUUCAUUUCAAUCAUGCCAACGCUGGAAUUGUGAAUAUAUACGUUUAAAGACCAUAGAAUGAAACCCAGUACUAUUAGACAGCAACGGUGUCUCCAUGCAUAGUGAGCGGAGUAUGCAGCGACCCAAAACACUAUUUCAACUUCUAGCAUGUUUAUGAAUGUAAAUUGUCGGGAAUCUGUCAUGGGUCAUGGGCUCAUCGUUAGCCAGUUCGGGUAAAAUUUUCUAAUGGGCCUUAAGAUGAUAUUAAUUGUGUGUAGUGUUAUGGAUAGGAAAUGGCAAGUUCUAAACCUUAGUUCAUUAAUCAGGACGCUUUGGGCCCAAACAGCCCAUGGAGCUGGCCUAUCUCAUAUCUUGGCAAGUUAAUUCUUUCUUUUUUUUUCUUUUUUUUUUUAAAUAAAAGCAAAUACUAUUAAUUAAACAAGUUAACAUGUACAGACACCUCUAAUAUCUACUUCAUAAAAUUCUUUGAAAACUGUUUAGCCAAAAUAUCUGUUAACUUAUUCGUUUUUCUCAACAUUUAGUCAUCAUCAUACCUAUGAAAAUCUACUUAAAUCAUUUUAACAUCUUUUGCAAGGCACCGAAUAUUAAUAGAGGAGGCAUGACACUUUAACACUUGAGUCGCAAUUUUAAAAUCUUUUUCAAGUUUAUUACAAUCAAUAAUAGGUAAUUGGGCAUGCACCUUGUAAGGGAAGCAAUGAAUUAAGUUUGGUGGUGACACCGAAAGUUUUCCUUGUAGAGCAUAUCAGAGCAUAUCUUCAAGACUUCAAUUCUAUAUCAAAAUGAGCCGUGGAAACAACUGUCACACCACUUUUCUUGAGAGAUAUUGACACAAUCUUGUAUGUGAAAAGGCAAUUUUAUAUUUAGAUGGACUAAAAGAUUGUCAACUUUGCCAUUACAAAUUCAGAAGUCACUAAAAGCAUGAACUACUGUCGGAGAAUGACUCAUGUGUGGAUUGCAGCGCCCUCUAGGUAAUUCUUGAUAGAUUAUAUUCCCAUUGAUAUGUCAAAAACAACUCAACUAAAGGAAAUGGUUUAACAUUCUCACUAAAAGUUCAAAUAUUACCGAAAACAUGGUGUGGUGGUGGGAAAGUUCUCCUUCUGUUUAUGGGGUUUUCGAGGUAGUUUUGUUAAAUAUCCACAGAUAUUCUUUUACCCCUUCCCUGAAACAAGGACACAAUUUUGAUGAAAAGCUUUGUGAAUCGUAAUUAAUUUAAUCAAUGUAUUACGAUCCAUUGAAAAAAUAUAACAUUUUUGAAAAGUUUCACUUUUUACUUUUAAAUAUAUGCAUUUUGAAAAAAAAAAAGAAGUAAUCCUUCAAACAUUCAAUCUAAUAAUGAAAAACUUCAAAAUUCUAUGACUACCAUAUGCUAUUUUUAUCCAUUUCCUCUUACCCCUAACUACCUCUCUCUCACUUUCCAUUUUUUAUUUUAUUUUAAUUUUAUUUAUUUUUAUUUAAAUUUGACAUGACAAGUUAAAGAAUAUAAUUAUUAUGUUUAAAAUUUUUACACAUGGUCAUCAACAUAGUUUUUUUUUUUUUUUUUUAAUUUUUAUUUAUUUAUUUAUUCCCUCCCCAUAAUAUGUCCACCUUUUUGCAUUUUUUUUUUAAUAUAGUGGCUUAAUAGGCGGUAAUAGACCUUACCCUAAAUAAAAGAAAAUUGAUAUGUUUUUUUCAUCAUGAUACUUCUAACACAUUUUAAUGGUACUUUUUUCAUAAAAGAGUAAUGCAUUUUUUUAUGAAAAAAAUACCAUAUUUUCCAAGGGUUGUAUUGAUUGGUGUUAUCGUGCAAUAACACUCACUAAAUUCAUUGUUAUUUAAUCAUUAUAUAAGAUUUGGAACACGUGACGGAUGUUAACAAACCUUACCCUAAAUCAAAGAAGAGUGGUACAUCAUUCUUAUCACAGUAGUACUUUUAAUCAUCAUUUCUAUCAUAAUGGUACUUUUAACACAAUUUAGUGAUUUUUUUUAAUAAAAUAGUGAUAUUUUUAUAUAAAAGAGGGGUACACUUUUUUUCAAGAGUCGUGUCUAUUAGUGUUAUUGUGUAAUAACAUUCACUCAAGUGAGUCUAAAGCAAGAUGGUAAGGUAUAGGGCUUCUGAUUCAUAGGCCAUGAAAAUGUUUUUUAACUCUUCUUUCAUUAUCAUUUGAAAAAAGUGGUGGAAGAAGGAUUGAUUGGGAUUGAUCGUGAAGCCUCUUAUAGAAUAAAACUAUUAGAUUGAAGCAUACUCCAAAUGUGCAACAAACCCAAGUACAAAUUAUGGGAUCAAAUGCAAAGACACCUUUUGGAUAGACUAGGUUGUUUUGUAUUCACCUCAUUGCCUACGUGGAGAUCUUUCUUUCUCUAAUAGGAAUUACUAAGACAAAGCCAAUUACACAUUUCUACUUUCAACCAGGUAAAUAUAUUUGCAGCAAAGGAAAAGUAGGGAUAAUUGUAGACUAAGAAAAGAGGACACAAACACAUUCACUACUUAAAUCAAAAUCUAUGUGGGAACCAACAUCCACCUAGGCUGGAUAGAACCAUUGCUUAAUAAACGACAAUGGCACUCCAAAAGUUAGGUUAACUUUCCUAUCACUUCAAGUUGAAAAAUGACAACUAUUUUAUGGUAAUUCUUACCCUUUCCUUUUUCUAAACAUCAUAUCAAGGUGAUAGGCUUCGAACCUAUGAUCCUCUAUACCCAAAACAAUGCGCAAACCAAACUACGGUACACCUCAUUUCACCCAUCAAAACAUAUAGAUCCAUCAAAUCAAUGAACACUCAAGUCGAACUCACCUGUGCUUUUGGGCACAAGAAUGUGAGAACCAAUCAAGACAAGCUAUUGUGUAAAAGGUCAAAGGACGCCCUUUGACUAGAGCCCCUAAGACUGGGGAAGGGGAUUUAAUAGAUACUCUUUGAUGUCUUCAAAAGCAUUCUGACAUACUUGUUCCCAUUCGAAGGGUAGUCCUGUCUCUUCAUGCAAAUGUGGGGCGCAGCGUGCCUUGUGUGUUACCUCAUUCUAAAGUUAAUCGAUAAUAUAUAUGCUCCUCCAUUUUUUCACUAAGUCUAAGUAAAUGGAAUCUUUUAUAGCCAAAGCUAAUCAAUCUUCUCCACUUACUAUGCUUUACUACCCAAGAGGGAGAGAGAAUACAGUAUUAGAACAUGCACAAGUGUUUACUUGGACAACACAAUCAUGGUCAAAAUGGUUUAAGAUUUAGAAAUUUCAAUUUGAGGGGAAGAAGUUUCAUCAUUUUUGCAUGUUAUAAUGCUCAACAAUAAAAAUAUAUAUAAUAAUUUCAUUUUUAUCAAGUUUAUAUCAAAUGAAACAAAUUAAACACAUUUAAACAAAGGAAAUAAUAUUUAUUUUUCCAUAGUUUUAGAAUAUUUAUUAUAUAUUUUUUUCUUUUUAUAAUUCACCCAUAUGUAUCUUUAUUAUUUCAUUACAAAUUUCACCAUAUAUUUAUUGCAUCUUCCCAUGGCUACCACUUCAAUAUACAUCUAUAUAUAAAUACAAAAUAACGUUUUUGAAUGAAUCCCUUAGAAAUAGUGCAUUAUCCAAACCAAUGACAAAAAUAUUUGUAAUCACGAAUAUAUCGGUAAUUACAGAUAUAUCGAUAUUUUGAUUUUAUGAAUAUAUUGGAUAUAUCAAAAUAUAUCAACGGAUAUUUUGGAAAAAAAUAUUGAUAGACCUAAAAUUGAUCAAAAUUCAUAAAAAUGUAAGAAAAACUUCACAAAAAUCUAAUUAGAAACAUAAUAGAUAUUUUAAAGUUAUUUUGUUGAAGAAUUUGAUAUAUGUAUAAUAUGAUUUAUAUCAUAUUUGAUAAUAAUAUCGUAUGUAUUGAUAAAAAAAAAUAUGACUUUUAUAAAUAUACAUUUAUUAUUAAAUUACAUCAAAUAUUAUUUCAUAAUAAUAUUGUCAUAUUUGAUUAUAACAUAUUUAAUUUUAAAAUAUAUUUAAUAGUAAAAUUAUGAUUCAUUUACUUUAAUUGUAUUAAAUGAUAUAAAAUAAAUGGUGACAUAUGUAUAAUUUUUUAAUAUUUAAUUACUCUAUUAAUGAGAUUAUAAAUACUAAGAAGAAAAUUAUCAUGAUAGUUUUUAUAUUUUUGGUAAUCAAUUAAAUAAAAAUUUGUUAUUUAAUUAUAAAAUAAUUAUAAUUAAUUUGUUCUCUAAAAUGUUCUUUUAAUAUUUUGUUUAUAUGAUGACUUUAAAUAUAAAUAUAUUUGGUGUAAUGCAUUUAACAAGGGUGAGUCUUUUGUUUGGGUUUGAGUCUGCUUAACAACAAAAGUUAAAAGACAAUUUUGAGUUUUCGUAGCAGUCCUGUAGCGUGUGUUAACCGGCGUUGAACACCGUGUUGGCUGGACCAUUAUUCUUGUGGAAUAUCCAACUAGAACAUAUGUAUCAUGAAAGUAUGUGUGAUGUCCCACAUCGAAUAGGGGAGAAUGUUCCUGGUGCUAUAUAUGUAGAGGUUUUUCUUAACCAAGUAGACGCGUUUUAAAACCAUGAGGGCCCCUUGGGCCCAAAGCGGACAAUAUCUACAUGGUUGGGUGCGGGUCGUUACAAAUGGUAUCAAAGCCGAUCCCCGACCCCGGUGUGGGGGUUUGUUGGUCUCGUAAGGGGUGUUUGUCUGUUUGGCCCCACAAUCCCAUGGGACACAACAAGGACGUUGUGUCUGCAUGAGGGGGUGUUUGUGAUGUCCCACAUCGGAUAGGGGAGAAUGUUCCUGACGCUAUAUAUGUAGAGACUCUUCUUAACCAAGUAGACGCGUUUUAAAACCGUGAGGGCCCCUUGGGCCCAAAGCGGACAAUAUCUACAUGGUUAGGUGCGGGUCGUUACAAUAUGUAAGUGAUCAUGCUGAUGUUACUGUUGAUGACCAAUUCCGUUUGUUUACUAGGAAGUACUAUUUAUUAAUUAGUAAUGCAUUUGGGGUGCUUUGAAGCUUAAUUUUAUAUUUGUGAGACAUAUAUAUUAAUUAGUAAGUACUAGUAAGUACUAUUUAUUAAUUUUAUAUUUUAAAUAUAAAUUUUAAAAUAUAAUUUAUCUUGUGGAAUAGCUUAAUUAGUGAGAGAGAGUAAAAGUGUAACUUUAAGUUCAUGACUUUUAUUUCAUAUUAAUUAUUUAAUUAUUCUAAGAAUAUUAAAUUUUAGAUAAUUAAUAAUAAUAUUUAUCAAAUUGAAAAAGCUAUUCAAAUAUUAUUAAGUAAUGAUGAAGAUAACUUUCUAACUUCAGAAGCCAAAGUUAACGUUUAGAUAACAAGAUUCAAAUUAUUUACUAAUUUAUGAAGUUUCUUUAAAUAUAAAAUAACUUUUAUAUAAAUUAAAGUUUGAAAUUAUUUAAUAAUUUAUAAAGAAAGGUUGUUCUUAUUUUAAUUUAGACCGCUACUUAAACAGCAUUAUUAAAACAAUCAAUAACACAAAAUCUUUUAUAUAAUUUUUAAAAAUAGUUUUUUAUAAGGGAUAAGUUCUCUUUCAAUGGGAGAUUUUGACAGAGAUUUUUCUAUGAGGGAUAAAGGUGUUUUAGAAAGUAAGAAAUAUAUUUUAAAAAUAACAAAAUUUCUUCUUCAUUUUUCAAAAAUAAAAAAUAAAAUGUAAAGAUAAAUUUUAUAUUUUCAAGAAAUAUAUUUUAAAAAUAACACAAGUUUAUUUUCUUUGUUAAAAAAAAAUACAACUUUUAUAUUUUCAAGGCCAUUAAUUUUCAAAAUAAUUUUUAGUAAUUAUUCAUUUCUGAAACUAUUAUAUACUAUUUGAAAAGAUGUCACAAGGUCACAUCAACUGAACUUAAAAUUAUAUUUUAUUAAAUAGGAAGAUAACAAUGCAUAGGAUCCAAAAUAUUUAAGUUAAGAAAAUAUAUUUGAUACUAAACAUGUGUCUAUUUUCACUUUUUCUUUCUAAGAGUGUCAAAGCAUACCCUUUUUCCAAUAAGUUCAAAUAUAAAAUUUAAAAGUUACAUAACUUUUGGUUGUUAGAUAGAUAUGCGAAAUGUAUUCUUUUUUUUUUUCUUUUUUUAUAUUUAUAAUUUAGUACAAGUAAAAUUAAAAUUUAAGAGGUUGUUUGGUUUUUCAAAAUUUAUUACUUUAAGACAAUAUGCUUUCAGUUGAAAUGAUUAUUAAAAUUAAUAAAAUGGGUAGUUCAUGUUGAUGAGAAAAUAAAGUUUACAACUUAAAUAACCCUUUUUGUAUCUAACUACUUCUAACAAUGUGUAACUAAUUUCAUAACCACAUAACAAUAACCUCUUAUCUCUUCACAACGUACCCCUCUCAAACUAAGAGUGGAUAAUUGUUCAACUCUUAGUUUGUUCUUUAACAACCAAAAUCGAGUAUUAGAUAAAGUUUUGGUUAGAAUGUCCGCAAUCUAAUCUUGUGAUGAGAUAUGUCUAACAUCCAACUCUUUCUUCAUAACUUUCUCACGCACAAAAUAUAGGUCCAACUUAACGUGUUUUGUCUGAGCAUGUAGAAUAGGAUUUGCUAACAUGAGUACAGUACUCAAAUUAUCACAUCAUAGUACUGGAACACGACAUUGAGAAAUUUGUAAUUCUAUUAGCAAGGACUCUAUUCAAGUAACUUUUGCUGCCAAAGUAGCUAGACUCCUAUAUUCAGCUACGGUGCUACUCCUUGAGACUGUGUUUUGCUUAUUUGAAUUCCAAUAUAUCAUAUUUGAACCAAGAUAUACAUAGAAGCCAAUAGUUGAUCUCCUUUCAUCCAGGUUUGAAGCCCAGUCUGCAUCACAAAACCCUGUAAUAUCUAAGUUCAUUGAUCUCUUAAGAUGUAAACCAUGAUCAAGUGUUCCCCUUAAGUACUUAAGAAUCCUUUUUAUUACCUUCCAGUGAGACUCCAAAGGAUUUUGCAUAAACUGGCAAAUCCUAUUAACUGAGUAAGCAAGUUCUGGUUGUGUAAUUGUCACAUAUUGUAGGGCUCUAACUAUGCUUCGAUAGAGUUGUGGAUUGCCUAUUGGAUCACUUCCAAUGCAGGACAAUUUUUCUCCUCUGGACAUAGGUGUGGGCAGCUCUUUAGCAUACUGCAUCUUUGUCUUGCACAAAAGAUCUGUUACAUACUUAGUUUGUGAUAAAUGUAAACCAUCUGUAGUAUGUUUAACUUGAAUUCCUAAGAAGUAGUCAACUUCACCAAGGUCUUUUAAUGCAAAUCUGGUAUUCAGUUGUUGUACCAGGGCUUGAAUCUCAAAUUUAAAACUUCCAGUCACAAGUAUGUCAUCAACAUAUGAUUCGUGCCCAAUUGGUGUCUCAGCUGAUUUGUGUCCAACUGGUGCUCCUUGAUUGAGAGAGUAAUCAACAAAAUUUAUAACCUAUAACACCAUAUACUAGGGUAGCAAAGAAAAAGCUACUAUAGUAUAGUGGCUCUAGGAUCGUCCACUGGGAAAGAUUAACAAGCUCUCAAUGAUACCAAUUCCAAGUGAAUUGGUUUUGUUUCAUUUCAUGGUUAGCUUAAGAAUUAAAACACAAACUUUGAUUGGUAAAGGUUUAGACUUAAACUAACUAACAUAACAGAAGUUUGGAAUAAUUUAGGAAGAAAAGCAUUCCCUGGAGAGUUAGGUUCACUGGGAUGGUUCCUCAUGCAAAAGACAUAGCUCCGAUCAGAUGGUUCAUUUCCUCAUGUUAGAGAUUCAACAUAUAGUCAAUUCUCUAACCGGUGUUGUACAGAGACUCCUUCAAUUAGAUUUCACUUUAAUUCUCUCACUGAUGCAACUUGCAAUGGUUUAAGCCUCUCACUAAGCCUUAACCAUUCAAGGUGAUCUUUAACCUUGGAUUACCCGUCAAAAGCUCACAAGAGAUAACUAAUGGAUGUCUCCUUGGAGUCCAAAAGCUUAUCAAGUGUUGGCUAUUCUAGAAAAUCCUACCUUGAAGUCACCUCCCAGAGGCUCGCAAGGGGUAAACUAGUGCACUUCCAUGGUUGGAAAUCACUUGCCUUACCAAGUGUUGGCCCAGGUGACUCUAAGGUGUUUUAAGUUAACUAAAAACAUAGAAAUCAUUAAAGGAUUUCACUUCCUCUUCAUUACUAGCUAAAACCACAGAGCUUUGCAUUCUUGCACUUGGAACCUUCCCCGGCAACCUUAGCUCCAAGGAACUAGAGGUUUAGUUACUCAUUCUUUGGGGAAAACUCCUCAGAGAGUUCAUAACUUAGUAAGAAAAUGAAAAUACAAAGUGAGAAGGUAAGGCAGUAGAAAGAAAAUAAACUUUACUUGCUUACCCAAACUUUUAUAGAAGGAACUCCUCCCUGAGAACAGGCUCCCGAGAGGUAUAUAUAUGUACAUAAUAUAAAACUAAUUAUUACAUAGAUAUUUAGUCUUUUUACUAACUUAAAAGCUAAGGAAUCAUGUAAUUGGUGGUUUACAAGGAGUAUUUUGGGAUUUAGACAACAAAAAUCUAAUGGAAAAUAUCUCCCAAUGUCGGUAGCAAAUAUCGGGAGGCUUCAGGAACCAUUUUGCAGGAGAAAAAUGGUGUCUGCGAGAUUUCGCAGACACUUAAGAGGGCUGCGAAAUAAUUUCGCAACACCAAGCUAUCUUCACAGGGCUGCGAAGAUGGCUUCCACCUUGAGGUUCCCAGCUUCCUUCUCGUGGAAUAAAUUGGGCAUCGUCAGAAGGAGAAACAUUACAUUGUUCAAAAAGGCUGCGAAAUCACUUCGCAACAAAAGGGUGAUUUCGUAACACUUUGCAAAAUGCUUCUUUCAGCUCGGAGUGAUUGGCUUGUAAUGGCUGCAACUUCUUCGUUUCAACUCUGAAUUACACACCGUUUGAAGCAUUGGAUUGUUGAAUUCCUGAUCUUUGAAAUGGUAUAUAGCAUGCAUCAUUUGGACUUCAUAAAGUGCUCCAAAAGUGGCUGCUACGACUGUCAUCAAGAAUAUGCUUUAUGGCAGAUUCUCUUUGCUUUUUCUCCUUGCAAUCCGGAUUUACUCUUGGCAAAUGACUUCUAAGCUUUGCCCAAGAUUCCUCAUAGCUCUCCUCAGUCUUGACUUGCUUUGGUGAUCAAAAUACUAACAAAAACACCAAAACUUACACAAAGUGAUCAAAAUUGCUUUCAAGGGUCCUUAACAUGCCAAUUGAGUUAAAAGGCCUAAACUACUACUCAAAAGUGUUUAAAAUAAUUUAUUAUAGGCUAUCAAAUAGCACUUUUUGAGUAGUAAUCACUCCCCCCAACUGACAUAUUGCUAGUCCCUUAGCAAUAUAGGAGAGAAAAAUUGAAAAUAAAAAGCAAACUAAUCUAAAAUUUACAACAUCAUGCUGAUCAAAAUCAAUUCUCAAGUGGCAUGAUGAUCUAAUUCUCACAUGAAGCAUUAAAGAAAUACAAACCCAAAUCUCAACAAGAGUCAUAACAAACUAUGCUAAACACUGUCAAUCAAGGGAGUGCAUUAUGCAAACUGAAGUUUUAAAAUCAUUUCCACUUUCAAAGAACCAAACUUUUAUCUUCCACAAAAAUCUAUGUGUAUUGGUUCCUUAGCUUCCGAGAAUAAUAUGCUAAACUAAUCUCUCCCCCCAACCUAUCUCUUUUCAACACUUAGCAGACUGACCAAAAUCAAUAAGAAAAGAACACACCUUUUUUUUUUUAGUAAGGUAGCUUUAUGGGGUACUCUUUCUAACUUGUCCAUGUAAUGGGGUCCAUUGAUGACUCCCAACCAAUUAAGGUUUAGGGCACCAAGCUUUAAGGAUCUUUCAACCACUAACUCCUCAGAUUUUUCCCCGGACUUUUAAGAAUGAAUUUCUAAUACCCAAGCAUCUACCAUAUGCUAACUCUACCUAUUCACCCUUGUAACGAGCAUUGAGGUCGAUGACUCCCAACCAAUUAAGGCUUAGGGCACCAGGCUUUAAAGGUUUUCACCAUAUACCCCUCAGACCUUGCUCGGGUUUCAAGGCAAGCAAACAACUUUCUUUAUUUCAAAGGUUCAUUGGCCUUUUGCAGGGUGUUUCAAUUUUAUCAAAUGAAGUCAAAUGUACCAAGUCCCAAAAUUAUCCUAAGUCAAGAGGGAAAUAGCUUUUCAUCUUAUAAUCGGAAUCUAAUGUGCACAGUGUGUGAAUAGCUUAAAGUGGAAGAACUAAAUUCAAUUUCACUAGAAGCUUCAACAAUUGAACCACUUUAGUGAGCAUAAUCCAUACUCUAAGUUAAGUGAAAAACAACAGUUCAAUUUCUCUUGGUUUAAUUUGAAAAUUUUUCCUCAAAAUUCAUGGAGAAUAGAGUAAUAAGAGUAAAAAGUAAAAACUACAACUAAUUAACCAAUAUAAUUGUAUUAUCAAAAAGAUUUAGCAUACUUCCUUCCUCAUUCCCCCCAACCGAACUGAGCAUUGUCCUCAAUGUGAUAUGAGUGACUGUAAUUAAAGGGAGGAAGUGGUACCUCCUUGCUGAUAUCAAAUUCGAAUAUUGAUUGGGGAAAACCACAUGUUUCAAAAAGAAUAGAAUAUGUGAGAAAAGGAAAUAAGAAUAACUUAAUGCUAACUGUUAACAAGAAAUAUUCCACUUGUAUUACUUUCAAUUCAUUCGAGUACAAUGUAAAAGACAAGUAACACAAGGAAUCCCAAAUAUAGUACCAAAAUAGUGGGAUUUCUUUUCAACUAAAAAAAAAAACAAAUACAUAAAAAUAUUAGAUAUAUAUAAUAGUCUGAUGAGUGGGGUGGUGGUGCUAGGCAGAUGGGUCUGUCUUUUCAAUAGGUGCAUCAGCUGGGGCUUGGGGCUCUGGAGGAUGAGACUCUGAAGGAUGAGAGUGUGGCUCUGCUGGUGUAUCAGUGGAGGGCUCUACAGCUUGUGGUAGAUCGAAAUGGACUUGGAGCUGCCUUAAGAUGGCAGCUUGUUGAGCCUUAGUGGCCAACAUCUGCUCUUAGCAUGCUCUGAUGGCUGCCAUCUCCUGAGCAAAACUGCUCUGAGAAGCUGUAAGAGUCUCCAAUGCACGACACAACUCUCUAUAUUCAGAUAUAGGAAUGGCCAUCCUCGGCUCAGCUGAUGUGGAUGGCUGAGAUGAAGCUGAUGUAGCUGGUGGAGCUCUAGGAAUGGCAGGAGUAGCAACUGUUAUACCCUCAAGUAUAUGUCUUGGGGAUGCUCUCCUUGCAGCUGGCUGAGGCUGCUCAGGCUGAUCAACUUUGUAGGCCGUCAUAUUGUUCCAUUUAUCAAGAGUGAAUGGCUCACGGCAAAUUCGUUUUUUCUCCAACUGAGGCUCAGAAGGGUAUCCCAGAUGCUCCAAAAUUUGGCAUAACAGCCUUGGAAAGAGGAGUGGAAUGCAAUCAGCUCUCUGAAGCUUCUUUUUGUGAACCUUCUCUUCAAAAUAGAGAAGGGCUGCCAUGAUCAGAUGAUGAGGCCCAAAGAAAAAUCCUUCUGACAUCUUGUAAAGAGCUUCCAGGAGGACUCCCCUUCUUUGGGUCCAAUGCUGCAAUGGAUAGAUAUUAUGACGCAAAAAGGCAUCAAUCAAAAACAUAACUGGAGGAAGCUCCCCCCUCAGCAGAUGUGAUCGAUUUACAGCUCCUCUGGAAAGGGUGCGCACCAUCUUUAGCUCAAUAGGAUUUGCCCAAGCUCUAAAAUUAUCGAAUUGGGUUGGCUCAAAGGGAAUUUGCAGGGCUUCAGCAAUAUGUCGUGCUCCCAAUAUGCCAUGUCUCCCAUCGAUAGUGAAAUGAAUCAAGGUUGGAUUCCUAACCUCUUUGGUUGUCAUGGAUUGAUAGAAAUCUGUGGCUAUCCGGGGAUAGAAAAAGUCUCUUGGAGUCAGCAAGUGCUCCAUGUGAUACCUCCUCAGCAGCUGGAAUGAUUGGGCAAGCUCCGGCCUCACUCUGAAUGCCGGUAAGUCGAAGCAUAGCUCGGAAUGGAAUGGCCGUAUUCUACAAUCCAAGUUUCCCUCAAUUGGGGGCUAAGGUAGCAUUGGCCUCCGGAUUACUUCUUCCAGAGUUGUUUCGGAUGGAAUUUGGGGUUCAGGAAGUGGCGCUAGAGGCUCUUGAGAUUUUUCUUGCAGCGCCGGAUAUGGUAUCGGCGACGGAACUGGCAUGGGAAUCGGCGAGGGAACUGGAGACGGCACUGGAGUUGGAACCGGUGAUGGAAUUGGUGAAGGCUCUGGAGAUUGCUCAGUCAAAUCGAUGAGUUCUGAGCUCUCCACCCUGGGCUUCUUUUGCAGCGGCCAACCUCCCGACCUGGUAAGGUAUCGUUUUGCCGGAGGCUUUGGCGGCACUGGCUUCACCGGGGGAGGAAUUGCUUUCGACUGCGAAGGCUCUGGAGCAGAAUCUGGAACUGGCUCCUUUCGCAGACUCUUCUUGCGAUUCGAAGGAGAUGAAGAUUUAGCCCUUCGUGUUCGCGUCAUUUCGGGAUACCGAACUUUGGCCGACGUUGCUAAUCGGAGAAGAUGAUCGGAGGCUUGGACGGCGUGGCUCACUGAAGAAGACGAACAGCUUGCGAGAAUGGCGCUCUGAUUUUUGAAACCCUUUUCGCAGCUCAAAUGACCGGUAUAAAUAGGAAAAACGGAAGCCUAAGGGUCAGUUUAAGUUUCGCAACAAAACUCCAAUUUCGCAGCAAAAUGCCAUUUUCGCAGCAACUUCGCAGUGCGUUUCGCAUAUGUGAAAUGAGAGUUCCUGUGCUGCGAAGUGGCACUCGUGUGCCAAAACCACUUUCGCAAUUGCGAAAUACCCUGCGGAAUGAGACUUUUGGUGCGAAAUCACCCUUUUCCACUUCGCAAUGCGUUUCGCAGCUGCCAAAUGGAUGCUACUGUACUGCGAAGUGGCACUCGUGUGCCAAAUUUGCUUUCGCAGCUGCGAAAUACCCUCGUAGAGACUUCUACAGUGUUGCGGAAUGGUUUGGCAACAAAAUGCUCAUUUCGCAGAAGCUUUCUUUAGCCUGCGAAAUUUCGCAGAGCUCUGUUUUUCCCCUAUUUUUGCUCUGUUUUGGCUCCGAUUUCGAUCCGAUUUUUUUUUUUCAAUCUCCUUGAAAUUUCUUCCACCUGGGAUCAUUUAAAACGAUUAAAACACACCUAAAAACAUGAUUUAAGAUCAAAAAACUAAGAUAAAAAAUAUGGAAACACUUUGAAAAUUUACAAAAUUUACAAAAAUUUUGGACUGUGGUAAACCACGUCCAGCAAACCCUUUUUUUUUGUUUAGGCUUUUUGAGGCUCAAGGAGGUUGAUCUCCUCAUUUUCUGGUUUGAAUGGCUCCAUGAAUGGCUUGAGACGAUAUCCAUUGACUUUGAAGCUAUCCUUGCCAUUGGAAUUCAAUAAUUCCACCACUCCAUUGGAAUAUACUCGGUGAAUAAUGAACGGGCCUAUCCACCUUGACUUGAGCUUCCCAGGAAAGAUAUGGAGUCUUGUGUCAUACAGUAAAACUCUUUGCCAUUCCUAAAAUUCCUUGUUGGAGAUGAGUUGAUCAUGCCACUUCUUCAUCCUCUGUUUUGCAACUUUGGAAUUGAUGUAAGCAUUGUUUCUUAAUUCCUCCAUCUCAUUAAGGUCUAGAAAUCUCUUUUCUCCGGCCUUGAUCAAGUCCAUAUUUAGCUUCUUUAUUACCCACCAAGCUUUGUAUUCAACUUCCACAGGGAGAUGGCAUGCUUUGCCAUAGACAAGACGAUAGGGAGACAUCCCAAGAAUAGUCUUAUAAGCUGUUCUAUAUGCCCACAAUGAAUCAUGAAGCCUAAUAAACCAAUCCUUACGUUGGAAUUCACCACUUUCAUCAAGAUGUUCUUUAUUUCCCUGUUAGCUAGCUCAACUUGCCCGGAAGUUUGAGGAUGAUAAGGUGUAGCCACCUUAUGCUUCACUCCAUACUUGGAUAACAGAGCUUCAAAAGGUUUGUUGCAAAAAUGAGCACCUCCAUAACUGAUUAUGGCUUUGGGCACCCCAAAUCUUGAGAAUAUAUUCUCUUUAAGAAACUUGAGAACCACCUUGUGAUCAUUUUGUUUACAGGGGAUUGCCUCAACCCAUUUAGAAACAUAAUCCACCCCCACCAAGAUGUAAGAAUUACCAAAAGACAUUGGGAAAGGUCUCAUGAAGUCAAUGCCCCAAACAUCAAAUAACUCAACUAUUAGAAUGAGGUUCAUAGGCAUUUGAUUUCUUUUUGUUAGCUUUCCAAGCCUUUGGCAUCUGUCACAACUCCUACACAUGAUGUGGGCAUCCUUAAAAAGAGAUGGUCAAGUAAACCCUGAUUGCAAUACCUUCAUGGCUGUUUUCUGAGAGGCAAAGUGGCCUCCACAUGCAUGCUCAUGACAAUGAGAUAGAAUCCCUUGCUGCUCAUCUUCAGGGACACACUUCCUAAUAAUCUGAUCUGCACAAUACUUAAAGAGAAAGGGCUCUUCCCAAUAAUAAGAAUGAAUUUUGGCAAAGAAGUGCUUCCUGUCCUGUGCAUUCCACUCACUUGGAAUUUCUCCAGUUACUAAAUAAUUGGCAAUAUGAGCAUACCAAGGAGUUUUCACUAGGAACAUGAGUGAUUCUUCAGGAAAAUCAUCAUUGAUAGGCAAGGGAUGGGAAUUAUGUGCUAUAACUAAUCUUGACAAGUGGUCAGCUACCACAUUCUCCACUCCUUUCUUAUCUUUGAUUUGGAGAUCGAAUUCUUGUAACAAAAGAAUCCAUCUAAUCAACCUUGCUUUUGCAUCUUGCUUUGUCAAUAAAUACUUCAAGGCUGAAUGGUCAGUAAAGACAAUAAUGAAAGACCCCACUAAAUAAGCUCGAAAUUUGUCCAAAGCAAAUACCACAGCUAACAAUUCUUUCUCUGUAGUUGUGUAGUUCCUUUGAGCUUCAUUUAGUGUUUUACUUGCAUAGUAAAUCACAUAGGGCUUCCCAUCUUCUCUUUGGCCAAGCACAACUCCUAUAGCAAAAUCAUUGGCAUCACAUAUCAGUUCAAAAGGUAAUUGCCAGUUAGGGGCUCUCACUAUUGGAGUUGUUGUUAAAAAUUUCUUCAGUUGAUCAAAGCUAUGCUGACACCUUUCAUCCCAUAUAAACUUAGCAUCCUUAGCUAAUAACUCACAAAGAGGUUUUGAAAGACUUGAAAAACCUUUUAUAAACCGCCUAUAGAAACCUGCAUGGCCAAGGAACUGCCUUACUCCUUUUACAGUUGUUGGAGAUGGUAAUUUGACAAUAAGCUCCACCUUUGCUUUAUCAACUUCAAUGCCUUUUUCAGAGAUGAUAUGGCCAAGGACAAUUCCUUAACGUACCAUAAAAUGGCAUUUCUCCCAGUUGAGCACCAGAUCUUUUUCAAUGCAUCCAUGAAGAACUGCUUCCAAAUUAACCAAGCAUUCCUCAAAUGUACCUCCAUAUACGGUGAUGUCAUCCAUGAAAACCUCCAUAAUUCGCUCCACCAUAUCACUGAAAAUACUCAACAUACAUCUUUGAAAUGUAGCAGGUGCAUUGCAUAAACCAAAAGGCAUUCUCCUGUAAGCAUAUGUUCCAAAUGGACAUGUAAAAGUGGUCUUUUCCUGAUCUGCCAAAUCAAUUUCAAUCUGAAAAUACCCUGAAUACCCAUCCAAGAAACAAUAAAAUGGAUGUCCAGAGACUCUCUCCAGCACUUGGUCAAUAAAUGGCAAUGGAAAAUGAUCUUUCCUGGUUACAGCAUUCAACUUUCUAUAAUCAAUACACACCCUCCAACCUGAAGUAAGGCGUGUAGUAAUUUCUUCCCCUUUUUCAUUUUGAACCACUGUGAUCCCUGACUUCUUUGGUACCACUUGAGUAGGACUCACCCAAGGGCUAUCAGAUAUAGGGUAAAUGAUUCCUGCUUGAAGUAGCUUCAGCACUUCAGCUCACACCACCUCUUGUAGAUGAGGAUUCAACCUUCUUUGAAAUUGACGAAUUGGCUUUGCUUCCUCCUCCAUAUAUAUAUGAUGAGUACAAACUAAAGGACUAAUGCCUUUCAAGUCAGAUAUUUGCCAUCCUAUUGUCUUCUUACACCUCUUGAGAACUUCCAUUAAACAAUUCUCUUGAUGACUGGUCAGAGAUGAAGAUAUCACAAUAGGACAUUGAUUAUUUUCUUCAAGAUAUGUAUAUUUCAGCUCCUCAGGUAAAGGCUUCAGAUUGAGUUUUGGAAUUUCUUUUUCAACAGCUGCCUCCUCUUCUUUAUUGAACAAAGGUAGAAUUUCUUCUAUCUUUCUCCAACUUUGUAGAGUAGCAAGCCCAAUAGGAGAUUCAGACAAACCUUCCUCAAAAUUCACAAGACUUUUAUUCAACUUGUCUUGCAUAUUUUGAUUACAGUGUUCCUCCACCAAAGUAUCAAUAAUGCACAGCUCUUCUGGACCUUCUUCUUCCUCCGGAGUGAUUUGCUUUUUAGACAUAUAGAAAAUAUUGAGAUCCAGUGUCAUGUUACCAAAAGUGAGUUGCAUAAGCCCAUUCCUGCAGUUGAUGAUUGCAUUUGAAGUAGCAAGAAAUGACCUUCCAAGGAUGAUAGGAACUAAAUUAGCUUCCUUUACGGUAGGAUCUGUAUCAAGAACAAUAAAAUCUACUGGAUAGUAGAAAUUAUCCACUUGAACCAAUACAUCCUCAAUUACCCCUCUUGGAAUUUUCACUGAUCUAUCUGCCAGAGAUAGAGUGAUUGUUGUUGGCUUCAACUCUCCAAGUCCCAAUUGCUAAUAGACGGAAUAUGGAAGCAAAUUCACACUUGCUCCCAAAUCUAACAAGGCUUUCUCCACUACCUUUCCUCCAAUCAUGACUGAAAUGGUAGGACUUCCAGGGCCUUUGUACUUCAAAGGGGACUUACAUUGUAAGAUUGCAUUUACUUGCUCAGUCAAGAAGGCAUUCUUGUUUACAGUCAACCCUCUCUUGAUAGUACACAAGUCCUUUAAGAAUUUUGCAUAUGUUGGAACUUGUUUAAUCGUAUCCAAGAGUGGAAUAUUGACUUUUACUUAUCUCAAUACUUCAAGGAUUUCAGCUGCAUUUCUCACCCCCUUUUUCCCAUGUAAUGCUUGAGGAAAAGGUGGAGAGGUUGAUUUCUUCAGCAUUUCUUCCUUCAUAAGUUCCUUCUUUGGAAUUGCAUUCAUUGUUGAAUUAGAGUCCUUCUUUUCUUCACUGAUCUCACUGUCUUUAUCUUCCAUCUCCUUCCCUUUCUUUAUCUCUUCUUCUUUCUCAACAUGUGGCUUGGGUGUUGGCUGCUCAAUUUUUUUACCACUCCUUAGAGUGAUCAAGGCUUUGACAUCUUUCAUCUGUGAUGAUUCUCCCUCUUGGCUUUCCACUUCAUGGACUCCUUUGGGAUUUUGGUGAGGUUGAGAAGGAAAUCUUCCCUUUUCUUGCAGUGUAUUCAAAUUUGUAAGCCUUGAAAUUGAAUAUUGGAUGUUAUCAAACUUUUGGUUCAUAUCAUUUUGCAUUCCAUCCAUCCUUUUAUUCAACAUACUCUCCAUUCUAUUCAUUCUUUGAUCGACUCGAGCAUUGGUGGCUUCUUGCUUUCCAACAAAAUCUCCCACUACCUUAGUGAGAUUGGCUACUGCUUGUUCAAUACUUGAAGAUUGUUGAGAUGGUGGAUCCGGCUGUUGGUAUUGAGUUGCUCUGGCCUUCCAUGAGAAAUUUGGAUGAUUCCUCCAACUUGAGUUGUAGGUAUUUCCAUAAGGCGCAUUGUUAUUGGGCCUGAAUUGUCCAACAACAUUUGCUUGAUCUCUAUACAUUUCCCUUUCAGCUAAAAUUGCAGGGCAUUCCUCCACCAAAUGUUCAUAUGAUUGACAAUUGGGACACAACUUCACUUGCACUGGUGCUUCAGCAACAGCUUGCACUUCAUGUAUUCUUUUCAGCUCCAGCUCCUCCAAUCUUCUUGUCAUAGCUACCAACUUUGCUUUCAUAUCAUCAUCUUCUUUUAAGGUAUACAUCCCAGCCUUUGCAUUGUAAGCAUUCAACUGAGACUUCAUCUUUCCCACUUCUCCUUUAGUUGGUUCAUCCCAUCCCCUUGAAACAUCAGCUACAUAGUUCAAGAAAUCCAUAGCUUCCUCUGGAUUUUUGCUCAUGAAAUCUCCUCCACACAUUGUCUCGAGGAGUUGCUUCAUUGAGGAGGACAUACCAUCAUAAAAAUAGCUCACCAAUAGCCAUGUAUCAAAGCCAUGGUGAGGGUAAGCAUUUAUAGCUUCCAUGUAUCUUUCCCAACACUCAUAGAAUUUCUCAUUCUCUUUAGCUGAGAAGUUUGAAAUUUGCCUUUUCAAGCCAUUUGUUCUAUGAGUAGGAAAAAAUUUCUUGAGGAAUUCAGCUUAUAAGUCAGUCCAAGAGCGGAUACUCCUUGGCCUUAAAGAAUUAAGCCAAAUUUUGGCUUUAUCCUUUAAAGUAAAAGGAAAUAACUUAAGCCUCAUCAAAUCAAUUGAAGCUCCUCCCUCUUGAAAUGUAUUACAAACAUCUUCAAAUUCCUUGAUGUGUGCAUACGGAUUCUCACUUUCCAUCCCAUGGAAAGUUGGUAGAAGUGGAACAAGAUACGGUCUGAUCACUAGCUGCUCUGUAGGGGGCACUAUACAUGAUGGUGCACUCAUACGAGGUGGAUGCAUGCGAUCCCUCAUUGAUCUGAAUUCAUUGAGAUUAUCUUGACGACCUUGGUGACUAUGCUGAUCUUCAGGUGUAGCUUCCAUGAUAUUCAAGAUCAGUUCGAAUUCUUUUCUCUGAGGUGUAUCACACUUAACAAGCCUUCCUCCACUGUCUCGUAUCCACUUUGGCAUACACAACUAGUAUCUAUCUGCAACUAAAAAUGAAAACAAAAGACAACAAAAGAAACAGGGCUACAACAACAAAAUUAAACUAGGCUAAAUUUUAAAAGAUAAACUUAGAUUAUGAAUAAAUAAAGAAAGAAUGAAAAUUAGUAAAGUGAAAGAAACUUUACCAACUUGUGAUGAAAAUCACAAGUGCUCAAAAAAAUGGUAUCACUAUAAACUUGACUCAUUCCCCGGCAACGGCACCAUUUGAUUCGUGCCCAAUUGGUGUCUCAGCUGAUUUGUGUCCAGUUGAUGCUCCUUGAUUGAGAGAGUAAUCAACAAAAUUUAUAACCUAUAACACCAUAUACUAGGGUAGCAAAGAAAAAGCUACUAUAGUAUAGUGACUCUAGGAUCGUCCACUGGGAAAGAUUAACAAGCUCUCAAUGAUACCAAUUCCAAGUGAAUUGGUUUUGUUUCAUUUCAUGGUUAGCUUAAGAAUUAAAACACAAACUUUGAUUGGUAAAGGUUUAGACUUAAACUAACUAACAUAACAGAAGUUUGGAAUAAUUUAGGAAGAAAAACAUUCCCUGGAGUGUUAGGUUCACUGGGGUGGUUCCUCAUGCAAAAGACAUAGCUCCGGUCAGAUGGUUCAUUUCCUCGUGUUAGAGAUUCAACAUAUAGUCAAUUCUCUAACCGGUGUUGUACAAAGACUCCUUCAAUUAGAUUUCACUUUAAUUCUCUCACUGAUGCAACUUGCAAUGGUUUAAGCCUCUCACUAAGCCUUAACCAUUCAAGGUGAUCUUUAACCUUGGAUUACCCGUCAAAAGCUCGCAAGAGAUAACUAAUGGAUGUCUCCUUGGAGUCCAAAAGCUUAUCAAGUGUUGGCUAUUCUAGAAAAUCCUACCUUGAAGUCACCUCCCAGAGGCUCGCAAGGGGUAAACUAGUGCACUUCCAUGGUUGGAAACCACUUGCCUUACCAAGUGUUGGCCCAGGUGACUCUAAGGUGUUUUAAGUUAACUAAAAACAUAGAAAUCAUUAAAGGAUUUCACUUCCUCUUCAUUACUAGCUAAAACCACAGAGCUUUGCAUUCUUGCACUUGGAACCUUCCCCGGCAACCUUAGCUCCAAGGAACUAGAGGUUUAGUUACUCAUUCUCUGGGGAAAACUCCUCAGAGAGUUCAUAACUUAGUAAGAAAAUGAAAAUACAAAGUGAGAAGGUAAGGCAGUGGAAAGAAAAUAAACUUUACUUGCUUACCCAAACUUUUAUAGAAGGAACUCCUCCCUGAGAACAGGCUCCCGAGAGGUAUAUAUAUGUACAUAAUAUAAAACUAAUUAUUACAUAGAUAUUUAGUCUUUUUACUAACUUAAAAGCUAAGGAAUCAUGUAAUUGGUGGUUUACAAGGAGUAUUUUGGGAUUUAGACAACAAAAAUCUAAUGGAAAAUAUCUCCCAAUGUCGGUAGCAAAUAUCGGGAGGCUUCAGGAACCAUUUUGCAGGAGAAAAAUGGUGUCUGCGAGAUUUCGCAGACACUCAAGAGGGCUGCGAAAUAAUUUCGCAACACCAAGCUAUCUUCACAGGGCUGCGAAGAUGGCUUCCACCUUGAGGUUCCCAGCUUCCUUCUCGUGGCAUAAAUCGGGCAUCGUCAGAAGGAGAAACAUUACACUGUUCAAAAAGGCUGCGAAAUCACUUCGCAACAAAAGGGUGAUUUUGCAACACUUUGCAAAAUGCUUCUUUCAGCUCGGAGUGAUUGGCUUGUAAUGGCUGCAACUUCUUCGUUUCAACUCCGAAUUGCACACCAUUUGAAGCAUUGGAUUUUUAACUUCCUGAGCUUUGAAAUGGUAUAUAGCAUGCAUCAUUUGGACUUCAUAAAGUGCUCCAAAAGUGGCUGCUAUGACUGUCAUCAAGAAUAUGCUUUAUGGCAGAUUCUCUUUGCUUUUUCUCCUUGCAAUCCGGAUUUACUCUUGGCAAAUGACUUCUAAGCUUUGCCCAAGAUUCCUCAUAGCUCUCCUCAGUCUUGACUUGCUUUGGUGAUCAAAAUACUAACAAAAACACCAAAACUUACACAAAGUGAUCAAAAUUGCUUUCAAGGGUCCUUAACAUGCCAAUUGAGUUAAAAGGCCUAAACUACUACUCAAAAGUGUUUAAAAUAAUUUAUUAUAGGCUAUCAAAUAGCACUUUUUGAGUAGUAAUCAACAUACACUAGAACGAAAAUGGUACAACUAGCUGAAUGUCUAAUGAAUAGAGAAUGAUCAAAUUUGGAGGACAUAAACCCCAAAGAAACUAAAACAUCCCUUAGUUUUUCAAACCAGGCUCUUGGAGUUUGCUUUAAACCAUAUAAUGCUUUAUGCAACUGACACACCAAGUGUAGAGAAUUUGAAUUUUCAAAGCCAGCUGGUUGUUCCAUAUGCACUUCCUCCUGUAAAUCUCCAUUUAAAAAUGCAUUAUUCACAUCCAACUAUCUUACAUACCAACCAUUCGAUAAAGCAAUUAUUAAAAAAAUUCUUAUUGUAAUAGGCUUGACUACAAGACUAAAAGUCUUAGUAAAAUCAAAACUUACAAGUUGGAGAAACCCUUUUGCUACCAAUUGUGCCUUAUGCUUCAGUAUACUACUAUCUGGAUUUUCUUUUACUUUAAACACCCAUUUACAACCAAUUGCUUUCCUGUUAAGUGGUAAAUGUACUAGUGACCAAGUCUUGUUUUUAACAAGUGCUGACUACUCCUCAGUCAUAGCAGCUUUCGAAUGAUCUUGCUGUAAAGCUUCUUGAAUGAAAACUGGUUCUUUAGAAGCCAUAAAGACUUAAGGUUUGAAUAUUCCAGCCUUAGAUCUAGUUCUCAUGGAAUGAACAUUUCUAGAUACAUUUGAUACAGGCUUAGCAUUGGUUUGGUCAGAAUUGGAUUGGUCAGCAACUGUGUUUGUAAUAGAAGAAGUGGAAAGUGAGGGUAUAGACAGAAUUGAGGAAUGAAUAGGAAUAAGAGCAGAAUGGGAAGUAGGUGUUGGACUAGGAAUAGAGGAAGGAGAAGUAAUGGACUUGGUUUUAGCAAAAGGAAAUGAUUUCUCAUUGAAUUGAACAUCUCUGGAUAUGUAGAUACAACCUUGAGGAUCUAAACACUUGAAACCUUUAUGUUUGAUACUAUAGCCCAAGAAAGUACAUUCCACAUAUUAAAAUUGGAACUUAGUAUUGCUGUAGGGUCUAAGGUUUGGAAAACAGGACCAGCCAAACACUUUCAACAUGAAAUAAUUUGGUUGUUGUUUGAAUAGAACUUGGAGAGGAAUUUGACCAGAAAGUACUAAGGAAGGCAACAUGUUGAUAAAAAAAAUUGAUGUUCAAACAGCUUCAUCCCAAUAUUGUAGAGGUAAAUAGGCAUGAGCUAAGAGUGUCAAGGGUGUUUCAAUGAUAUGCCUAUGUUUGCGUUCAACAAGACCAUUUUGUUCAUGGGUUCUAGGACAAACAACUCAGUGAAUUAUGCCAUUAGACUCAAGAUAAUUUGUAAAAGCUUGGUACUCACCACCCUAAUCAGAUUGGAUUUUCUUGAUAAAACAACCUAGUUGUAACUCUACCUAAGUUUUGAAGUUAAUAAAUGUUUACAAGACAUUAGAUUUAUUCUUGAGUAGAUAAACCCAAGUGAAACAAGCGAAUGAAUCAACAAAGUGAACAUAAUAGUUAUAGCCAUUAGAAGACAAAACAAGGGAAGGUCCCCACAAGUCUGAAUCUAUGAGUUCUAGAGGUUUUAUGUACUUAGUAGUAGAAUCAAGAAAGAGAAAUUUAUGAUGCUUUCCUAGACAACAAGCAUUACAAAAAUCAGGCAAGUCUUUAUUGAUGGUUGGAAAAUUACAAAAAAAACAACACUUUUUUAAUCACUUUAGCAUUAGAAUAGCCUAACCUAUUGUGCCAAAAUUAAAAAAUAGGAUCAAUUGAAGCAUUAGAGGCUAUUGUUGUAGCUUGUACAGACAUACAUUUUGGAUUUAUAGGAAAGCAUGGAACAUGAUAAGCUGACGAGGACUUGAGUGACUGGGACUUGAGUUGAAUGCUUGAGCUAUCAAAAACAUACAGUCCAUUGGCUACCUUACCCUACAGUAGGAUAGUUCUUGUGACUUGGUCUUUAACAAAACAUUGAUUAUAAUGGAACUCAAAGAACACGUUAUUAUCAUGAGCAAAUUUAGAGACACUCAAAAGAUUUUUCGAAAUGGAUGGGACAUGAAGAAGUUGUUUUAAAACUAGAAGUUUAGAUGAAAAUUGAGAAGGAAAAGUUGACUGACCAAUGUGUUGAAUUGCAAGAUUAGUACCAUCUCCCAUAUGAAUUUGGUCAUUUUUUGCAUAUAUGUCUUGAAUAAUGAGAUUAUUGGGAUCUGGUGUGCAGUGGUUGGUUGCACCAGAGUCGGGAUACCAACUAUUAUCUAUCACAACAUUAGGAUUAACCACCAUAGCAGCCAUCUGGGCAGACAUUUGUGGAGUUGCAUUCUAUUGAAAUUUUGAGAUCUGUAAUUACCUUGUCCAUUGAAAUUGCGUUGAAAACUACUUUGUCCUCCAUUAAACUUUUUAUGGGAUUGUUGAUUGUUAGAAAUCUUCACCAUAUUCACUUGAUUUGCUAAAUCAAGCUCCUUAGAAUGUUUUUCCAUCCUGUUUUCUUGUGCUAACAACAAUGAUUCAAUCUCUGCGACUGUAUACAGAUCAUUUCUUGAAUUCACUGUAACAACAAAUGUAUCAUACUCAAAAGACAAUCCAUCAAAGAUUGCAUCUAUAUGAUCUUUGGUUGUAACAACAUAUCCAACAGAAGCUAGCUGAGCAAUUAGGGAUUUAAUCUUUAACAGAUAAUCAUUUACUGAUAGAUCAUCCUUCUUUGUGUUAUGGAACCUAGUCUUGAAUUGAGAUAUCUUAACUUUGGUUUGUGAGGCAAAGAACACCUCAAGAGUUUUCCAAAUCUGACAUGAAGUGUCACACCCAACCAUUUGCAUGAGCAUCGCUUCUGUCAUUGAAGAGAGUAGCCAUGAAAAGAGCAGCCAAUCUUGUUGUUAUUAGUCAAGAUACUCUGGAUUUAUCUUCCCUUGAACACGAUCUCCAGUCGUAAGAAACCUUUCUGGUGGAUUUUCAUUUUCCAAAAUAAAUUUUUGCAGUUUGUGACCUUGUAUUGCAACUCCAACUUGCCAUUUCCAGAGAAGAAAAUUGCUAUCAUCUAAUUUGAUUGACAACGAGUGUGCGACUAUAGAAGGAGAGCUCUUCAACGAAGAAGAAAAUGAUUUCUCUCCAGCCAUUUAGAAUGGCUUUGAUACCAUAUUAGAAUUGAUAAAAUGGGUAUUUCAUGUUGAUGAGAAAACAUAGUUUACAACUUAAAUAAUCCUCUAUGUAUCUAACUACUAAUAAUGUAUAACUAACAGGUAAAGAGUGUGUAACUAAUUUCAUAACCAGAUAACAAUAACAUGUUGUCUCUUCAAUGAUUACUUUUCUUAUUUUGUGUUCCUAAGAGUCGUUACUAAGCUUUAUUUGAAAUGCCCCAGGUGUUAGUUUUGUUUUAUUUUCUUAUUUUUAUUUUGAGCUAGGAACACAUUUUCUGAUAUCUUGGGAUGUAAUUUUUUUAAACUAUGGGUGUUCAAGGAAGUUGCCACUAUUGGCAAAUUUCAACGAGGGUUCUUCAAUGAACUUGCCACUGCAUGCAUGUCGGCACUGGAUCAUAUUACAGCUAGCUUUUGAUAUUAGUCGCAAUUUUUCAGCGAUGUUUCUGUGAAGGAACUUGCCACUUGCCACUUGCCACUUGCCACUACAUGUCGGCAAUGGAAAUCUUACAGCUAGCUUUGGAUGCAUGCUUUGAUGUCCAACAAAUAUCCCACGUACCCAACUCUAAUUCCUAUGCUUUUCCUAGAAAAACGGCACAAGUGAUUCUGUAUCUCACUUCUCUUCUUGCCCAUUUCAUAGCACCGGCCGCGAAAACUCUUGUGUGGCCUCAUAUCAUCAUCAUGGUAGUUUAAUUAUUUAAUUAUUGCUUAUUGCCAGGAAGAUGUAGUGUACGCGUGAUCAGAAGUUUGGACAUGAGAGAUCUGUUCAUGAUCUCUAUUUUCAAAGGCGGAUCUUGAAGGAACUUCCCACUUGCCGGCAAUGGAUAUAUCCACAGCUUUGAAUGUUCAGAUUCCCAGGCUUUUAAUUUUGUCCGCAUAUGGCAGUGUUUUGAGAAUUUUUCAAUUUGUAAGAGAAAAAUUUUCUUUUAGAGAUACGUAGCUGGCAAUACACGGCAAGUAAUGCUAUUGCUCUCCCUUCAUAUUUCACUGUGGAAAUUUCCCGGGAACCAAACACAACUGAGUUAGCAAUUUGAUUAAUUGAAUUUCAUCUGUAUUUCUUGAGGCAAAUUAUAUAUACCUUUGAAAACUUCCAAACGUCAAUAUUAACCAACUCAAACGUAUGUUAAUCUAAAUGGGUAACCACUUUCCCAGAAAAGAUUCAAAAAUUGCUGAAGUUUGGUUCUUCGUGGGAUGGGAAGAUGAUUAUGCUCAUGGAGCUCUCGGGAAAAUGCCCACUGAUAGAGAUAUUAUUGUCUAGUUCGAGGGCUUCCUUGAAAAUAUUGACACCCCCGGCUUCCUUGAAGGCUUCUUAAGCUAGCUUAUAUGCACCUUACCUCAGUAUAUGGAUCUGCAGAGAGUAUAGCCUACCUUCACAACCACUCUCAACAAGCCCCAUAAACGUGCUCAGCUCUCAACAAUCCACCAUCGAUCCUUCUUUGUCCCGAAAAUGUAUUCCUUGAGAGUUGACACACUCGUGAGUAGUGCAAAAAUGGUGUUCCUUCUGGUCUUGAUCCUUACAGGUCUUGCAUCUUUCUCAGAUGCAAGGACUUUGGGAGAGAAGCCGAAGGAGAGUACCAACGUAGCGUCCACACUUCCGAAUCAAACUGGUCCAGUACCGCCAUCCAAGCCUUCUUCCUGCACUUACACCCCCAGCCCGCCUGCCCCUGGCCACUGCCACAACCAUAGAUGAACUUCAAUUUGCUGGGAGAGGAGGAAGAACGGAAAUUAUAGUUACUUCGAUGUCAACUUUGGAAGAAUAUAUUUUAGAUUUGAUUAGAUGUUGAAGUACAAACAUUUUUUAUUUCUAUAUCUAAUCAACUCUCUAAGAUAUAUUCUUCGUGAAAAUAACUUACGAGAUAUUUUGGGUUUCAAUUCUUAAUUCCGUAUUUCUUCUUUUCAACAAAUCUGCUUUGUUGUAACUUCAGAUUGUAAAUCAGUUAUGCUACUUACACAAUUUGGAAUAUAAUGAAAUUCAUGGUUUGUUUGUGUUCCUUAAUUGCCUGUGAACAAAUAAUAAAACAAGUUGUUCAAUCUUAUGUAUUUUCUCUUUGGUAAAUUAAAACUGCACUUCCCUUUUCUAGUUCCACAUAGUAGCAUCCAAGGAUAAAAAUAUUGGGAUAUAUCGGUAGUAUAUCACUGAUAUAUCAUGUAUCAAAGAAAAUGUAUACGAUAUAUGGGUAAGAUAUAUUGACCAACAAAAAUAUUGGAUUUUAUUAGGAAAUAUCGUCGAUAUAUUAAUUUCCAAUAAAUUUGCAACAUAAUAAAAAUAUUCGGCCCUGGAUGGAAAAAAUUGUUGAAAUUUGGAUGAUUUAUCAACGAUAUAUCAACAAAAACUCGAUGAAAUAUCGGUGAUGUCUAAUGCCCAAACUUUUAAUUUUUUUUUUUUUAACGGGCUAAUGUUGAAUCAACUCAACCAAACUAUACAUGAUGACUUUAAAAUUUUCUCUCAUAGGUCAAAAGAUAGAUGGAAUCCAAUGACUUCAUAGAUGUAAUUUUUAACUUUAAUACAAUGAGCUAAAGGCAGAAUUGGACCCAACAUGCCCAUUUAUUGUGGCUUAUGUUUUAAAACAGAUGACUUCUAUCAUUAAGCCAAACUUAUUUUAUGAUAUAUUAUGAUGUAUGAUAUAUAUAUAUAUAUAUAUAUAUAUAUAUAUAUAUAUAUAUAUAUAUAUAUAUAUAUAUAUAUAUAUAUGAUUAUUAUUUUAUGAUAUAUUUAUGAUAUAUAUAUAUGCUUAAAAUUCUUUAUCUAUAUGAUUAUUGUAUGUAUAUUUUUAUAUAUUAUAAUAUAUUUUAUAAAUUAAUUAAAAUAAAAUUAUUAUAAAUAAGUUAAUUUUAAUUAUUUUAUAAUCUAAAAUAUCUACUGAUAUUUCUGUAAAAUUCAAAUUUCGAUAUAUUCGUGAUUAUUGAUUCCUUGGUAGCAUAUGAUAUCAGAAUGAUAAAUUAAAGAAAAAGAACCAUAAGAGCGCUUCUUGUUACUUUCGGUGUUCUUACCCAUAUUUGAUUUGGCCGUUUCUGAAUAUUCUUUACAUUGUUGAUUGGAGUGGACGGAAAGUGCCACAAAUUGUUGUGUUGAGGUUGGUUCUUGUCAUUUAUUAUGCUCUCAUCUGCAUUUUUGUUUUUCUUUAUUCUCUUGCUAAUUCCAAGACGCCAUUAGUACUGUUAUGGGCAUUACGAUCACUUGUUUGCUUGCUGAAUUUCAUCGUUUGUGAAUUUGUUUUUUUUUUAAGUUUUAUUCUUGGAUGCUUUGAUUUUUCCCCCUUUUAAGCAGUUGGAUUCAUUCUUGAGUCUAGUGUUUGGUGAUCAAAUAUCUUUUUUCCAUGCUUGGCUCACCUGUUCGAAGCCCGUUGAUUCGAAACAUAAAACAUGGUUUUUUCUGGUUCUUUCUAUUUCUAUUUUUCUUUUAUGCUCUGUUUUUGGAUACCUUUCUUUCUUUUUUAUACUUGUCUAUGAAGUUUUUUUUUUUCUUUCUAAAAACAGUUGGAGCGUGGAAUUCAAAUUUGGAAGGACAAAAUGGAAAGAAAACACAAAAUUAUGCUAGAGUAAAUAUAAAUCGGUUGGGUCUGAUGAAGGCACUAGGUCACCUACAGUCGUUCUUUGCGAUGAAUGACAUAGGAUGAGGAAAAAUGGUGAGAGGCCAAAAGAAGUGUCAAAAACUACUGGUUCAUCACCAAGGAUUACACCGAAGUCAGAAAAAUCAUAUGAGAUUUCUUCAGCUCCAUAAAUGCUUUAAUUGAAAGUUGUGCCAAGAUAUAUGAAGUUAGUGCAUCUGCAACACCUGAUGAUGCUCCCCGAGUUUUAUGCAUUGGAACUGCCGACACAAAGCUAGAGGAGAUCCGAUUCUUGGCCGAGUCUAUUUGAUCCAAUUUGAACAAUAUCUCCAACACUUAUUCUACUACCAAGUUAAAAGUGACAAUUGUUAAUGUAUUCUACCCACCAAAACGAGAUUGACAGUGUGGGGAAUUUUAUAUUUGUACCCAAAAAAUAUAUAUUCUCUUGCUAUUUUGGGUCUAUGGAACAAAUAUCUUGUCCACUGCCAAAUGACAGAGGCAAAUGAAUCCCAAAAGGUCUAGGGUCUCUUAUUUAUAAGGGGUCAUAAUCCUAGGGAUCCCAAAAGAUAGGUUGUUAGGAAACACACCUCGAAAUGACACACCGCCUGACAAAAUGCCUCGGUGGAAGUAACCCCCCUUUAAACAACUGACACGUGUCUCACUCACACUAGGGAACUCCAAGGGACAUUUUCAGUUCAUACACCUCUGCCUGAACAUAGGUGCACACGAUGUAGGGGGCAUUGUGGGGACCUUCUCCCACAUGUCUACCCACGUGUACCUCCACACGUCUAUUCACAUGGCAUCAUCCUAGCUGGACCACGUGUCACCCUUUUCAUCAUAGUUCGGACAACCUUCUAGGCACUCGAAAAUAUCCUAUUCUGACCAUUUGUGCCACUAAGCAUACCACACUUCCCUAACAACCCUAAAUCAUAUUGGGUGUGUAAGGAUUUGGUUGUCUAACAUUGGAAUGAUUGAUGAGACUCUUCCCAUUUGAUUACUACUCAAAAAGGGCUAUUUGAUAGCUUGUAAUUAACUCUUUUAAACACUUUUGAGUAGUAGUUAUUGCCUUUUAACCCAAUUAACAUAUUGAGGACCUUUGCAAUCACUUCUAAUCAUUUUGUGUAAGUUUUGGUGUUUUUGUUAGUAAUUUGAUCACCAAAGCAAUCCAAGGUGGAGGAGAGUUAUUUGGAAUCCAUGGUAAAGCAAUGGAAAGCUCAGGAACAUGAAGAAUCAGAGCUUUGAAGCCUUAAAGUCCUUUGCCAUAACCAAUCCGGAAUGCAAGGAGGAGAAGUAAAGAGAGAAUCUACCUUGAAGCAUUCUUGAUGACAGUCAUUUCAGCUACUUUUGGAGUACUUUCUGAAGUCCAAUUUAUGCAUGCUUUAUGUCGUUUCGAAGAUCGGGAAGUCAAAAAUCCAAUGCUUCAAACGGUUUGCAAAUCAGAGUUGAAAUGAAGAAGUUAGAGCCAAUAGAAGCAGAUCACUCCAAGUUGAAGGCCAAUUUCGCAGGGCUGCGAAAUCAGCCUUCGUCUGCGAACUUUCGCAGCCAUUUUGUGCGCCUGCGAAAUUCUCCUGAGUGCUUCCAGAUAUUUGCGACCAACGUUUUUUGAUAUUUUGCUUCAGAUAUUUGUUGUCUAAAUCCCAAUUCUCUCCUUGUAAUCCACCAAUUAGAUGAUUCCUUAGUUGUUAAGCAAGAAUACAGGGGUAAACAACCUGUUAUAUAUUGUUUUGUAAUUUUCAUUUUUCGGACUGUCGGGGAACUUUCUCCAGGGGACCAACUUAUGUAAAUUUUACACUUAGUGAAAUACAGAGUAUCUUUUGCUUUCUUUUUCUCUCUACUAUUUUCUAUUUUCUUAGUAGCCAAACAUCCUUGGAGGAUGAAAUCCCCAAGGAUGAGAGGCUAAAACCUUUUAGUUUCUUGAAGUAAUGGAUGCCAUGUGAAGCUCCCGUGUCAGGAUGGAGAUUUCCAAGCCAUGAAUGUAAGUAGCUGAGCAUCAUAAAUGUUUUCAUUCAAAGUAAAGCUUUUAAUCCCUCUGACUUGCUUUGAAUGGCCAAUACUUGAUAACUUUUUGGUCUCAGUGGAUUCUUAUUGUUAGAUCCACUGACGUUCAUUAGUUAUCUCCUACGAGCCAUUGUAUUGCAAGUCGAGGAGAUGACCUAUAUCAUUAAAAGAGCAUUUAUGAGGUUCAGCUACCCUUUUUGUAAGUUUUGAAGGACUAAAACUCAGUUGUUAAACACAUACCGGUUCGGGAAGUAAGCAUCACCUUAGUUGCUUCCCCAACUCGAGGUGAAAAGUUCCAAAAUCUCCAUUUUUACACAGUGAGUUAAGCAUGGCUAUCCAAAGCUUUGAGAAACUUCUUUUUCCAUCUUUUAACCUAUUUUCAUGUUAGUUUAGUUUACAACAUCUUCAUCUUUUUAUGUUUUCAUCUUAACCUAAUUUUUAUUAAGAAAAGUUCACUCCAUCCUCCGAACUUCACCAGUUAAAGUAAAAACCCUUCCCAUUGUUCGAUCCUAGAGCCACUAUGCUAUAGUAGCUUUGCUACUUUAGUGUAAGGACCUUAGGUAUAAAUUUUGUUGAUACCCUUACAUGCCAAGCUACCAAGAGUCGGGUUAUCACCAUUCUCAUGUCUACAUCAACGGACUGUCACGUCCAGUCCCGUACCUUCAACAAGUUGAAGGGAUGACAAGCUGUAUCAUAACGCGUCGUCUAACACAACCCCCAGCCGUCUUGCAGUUGUGAUGAUUACCCUGUCACUACUGCAUAGUCAUCAAUCACUACAAGAGCCAGCUCAGCACUAUUGUGUCCUCCACUUUUGGGUGCUAUAAAAACCCUAAUGAAAUAGAACAAAGAAAGGGGGCAACACGGUGAGUUCUCUCACCUACUCUCUCUCCCUCUUUCUCUCUCUAAGGGUUUAUAUUCAUUCCAAAGUCUGACUUAGGCUUCGGAGAGUGUAUUCGGACAACCCGUCCAACAUCUUCGUUUAGGUAAGCAAAGAGCCCAGAUUCUAGCAUCUGAAUAGGAACUUUUGCUGCCACUACCAAAGAAAGGAAUCCAUCCUCAGUUGACAUGGUAUCAACAGAAACGAUUCAAACUAGAGGUAAAGAUUUGAUUAUGAUUUCUUUUUCUUUUUCCAUUUUUUGUGCUUUGAUUGGUUACCGAGAAAAAUGGAGGAAGACAAAGAGAAAUUUUUAUCUUACAUUUUAUGUAGGUUUGGUUUUCUCAAAAAUGAAAAAGCUCUAAAGUUGCGUUAUUGUAUUAGGUUUAGCUUUGUGGAAACUUUUUUACUUGAACCCAAAUUUUGAUUUAUUUUUUUAUUUUCAUCAACCAGGAGGAAUUGAAAGAGAAGACGAGGGUUGAAAAAACCCUAAAGUAAAAUUGGUUUUUUUUUUCCAAAAAAUAAGGUGGAGUUUUCUCAAGAAAAUAUCGGUUUCCCACUCAAAGAUCGAAGUUGGCCCUUAGUUCAAUAAGAAGAUCCUCUAUCCUCUUCUCCAAAUGCUCCGCAAGUUACUCAAGAUAAUUUGAAGAAAAAAUCCUCAAAAUUCAAGUAAUCAAUCAAUUGGAUCAAAUUACAUUUGCAUUUCGAGCUCAUUUCUCCAAUUCACCAUAAAUCUUGCCUCUAGAUCCUUCUUCCUCCAAGAAAAAUGAGAUUUAGCCACUCAUGCUCAGAGAUUUGGUCUCACAAGGCAUAUUUAGCUAGCAAAAAAAUGAGAGAAAAUGAAGAAAAAUAGAGAAUUCUAUUAAGAGAGAAAAUAUAGAAAAUUCUACAAUAAAAAAUGUCUCAAAAGUUCUUUAAUGAGAAAUUCAAGUUUCUAUUUAUAGGCCAAGGUCAAGUGGACACUUGACAUCAUUUAAGAGAUUUUUUGGAAGCUUCUCCAUUCAACAAUUUGGAAUUAAUCAGCAAAUAACCAUUUUGCAUGAAGAAAACCAAUUUUGCAUGGUUGUGCAAAAUCAAUGGAGUAAUAGCAAUUUCAUUAGAUUCCUAGACCAUUUCGCAUGAUUGUGCGAAAUUUUCACAUGUUCAUGUGAAAUCAACUUGUAAAUUCUUCUUAGCCUGCAACACAAAUUUCUUUUCUAGCCCAUUUCUCACAAUCAUGCGAAAUUUUUAUAUGAUCAUGUGAAAUUGCAUCAUAUGGUUUUUAAGUUUCUCUUUGUUACUUCCUUCAUUUUCAUAUUUUGACUCCACUUUAACUACUUUUAGUUGACUCUAAUUCCCAAUCCAAUUACAUUCCAUCUUCCUCAAAAGAUUAUUUGUCAUCUUCAAUUUCAUUUCUUUCUUUUGUCACUCAAUGCAUCAAUAUUCACUUCGAAAUAACUCUAAAACUUCACAAAAAUCAGUAGUAUCUCUUGUAAGGGCAACAAUGUAUUAAUUGGGUAUGUUAGGCAUAAUUACUACUCAAAAAGUAUGAAAUUCAUGAUAAUUAUUAUUUAAAAUGUGUUAUUUUUAGUAGUAAUCACAAGUUAUCCCUCAAAUUAGGAGGUAGUGCACUAUAACUUUAGAUAGAUUGCCUAUGUCUAUGAACCAACUAUGAACAACUCAUCAACUUACAAUGAACCUAUGAUUUGAAUCUUUCAUGCAACUCUUAAUACACUAAGUCAUGUGUAAUGCAUGUGAUAUAGACCUAAAUGCUCAAAUAAACAUUAAUGUAAUUAGGGAUAAAAUAGUGAAAACUAAAUACUUAUUUAUUACAUCAUGUCAUGUUUUUAAGGGUUAUGUCUCAAUAGGUGACACAAUAAAAUAAAAUAAAAAACCAAGGAACCACCAAAAGGGUAAACACAUUCAGAUGAAGUAUAUUUUGUUUCGUGAGAUAGUUCAAAAAGGUAAUGCGACUAUGGAGCAAAUUCUUUUUGCAACACCCAUUUUGCUUUUAAGGCGAGCGAGGGAUUGUUAGGAUAUAACCAUUCAAAACGGUGAUAUGAUGUAACAUUUAAUUUCAUAAUAUAUUAUAUCAACUUUCUUUUCUAUUCUAUUUGCACUAAUUGCUAUAUUUAAGAAUUUAGGUCUAAUCACUUGUAUUGUAUGUGACUUGAGUACAUUAAGAGCUAUAUGAAAUAUUCAAAUCUUGGAUUUAUUACAAGUUGAUAAGUCAGUUCAUAGACUUGGGAAGUCCAAUAGAUUGGUUGGAAAACUUGUCUUGAUAAUUGGAAUGAGUUUCUCAUAGGGAGUGUUCUAGUGUAUAUGGUUAUAUAUCAAACAAGAUCUAUGAAGACUCAUAAUUAAAUGACUAUUAGGUUGUCAUGAUUACUUCAAGCUACUAUGUUACCAAGUUUUGAACCUAGAUAGAACAUUAAGCUAGUAUUAAGGUCAUUAGUCACUUUAACCUGUAAGAGAAAUACAUAGUUCUAAAAGGCACGCCUAGGCUCGGGGCGGCGCGACGCCACCGUCCGGCGCCUCACCCUAAGGGAGGCGAUGCCCCUUCACGAAGGCGCCGCUUAGGCGCGCAAGGCGCUCGCCUCUAGCAAGGCAUGAGGCGGUCGCCCGAGUCGCCUCCGACGAUCCGACCAAGUACGCACUCUUUCUCCUUCUCCUUCUCCUUCUUCUUCUUCUUCCUCCUACCGUCGAGAUGCAGAGAGGCGGCCCAAGCGGGAGCCCUAAAUUUUUUUUUUAUUUGCUGGGCCCAAAACGACGCCGUUUUGGCCUGUUCCUCCUAUCCAGCCCCUUUUUUUGGUCUUUCUCAACCUGAGACCAUUCCCAUUCUUUGCCUUAGCCUCUUUCAUGUUGGAAAAGUGAAGAAGAAAAAAAAAAAAAAAUAGGGGGGAAAUAGGAGAAAAAUAAAGGAAAAAUAGUCACGUACCUUCCGGACCUCGGUAUUUUGCUUUUUUCUUUACUUUUCUGCAUUUUUUUCCAUUCUUAUCUCAUAACUCUCAUUGGAAAUAUUUUUUUUAAAUAUAAAUAUUAUAUUUUGAGUUUUUGACAUGAAAAUUUUACAAAAUAAAAAUAAAUAAACAAAAAGCACUCAUAUGCAUAUUUGUUGUUAAUGUGAUAAUGUGAUAUGCAUUUUUUUUUCAAUUUUUUUUCUUAAUUUAAUUAUAAUUAUUUUAUUGUAGAGUAUAAAUAAUUUGUUUGCAAGAUGGAUAAUGAGAGUGAAACUCAAGUAGACUCUAGUGCAAGUGGAAGAAGAGAUCCGGGGUGGAAAUAUGGUCGUUUGGUUAAUGAAAAAGAUUUGAAUACCAUCAUAUGCAUUUUUUGUGAUAAAGUAACCAAAUGAGGCAUAUAUAGACACAAACAACAUCUUGUUGGUGGAUAUAGAAAUGCUAAAAAGUGUAGAAAAUGUCCAGAACGUGUUAAAGAAUAAAUGGAAGAGUAUAUGAGUUCCAAGAAAAAUCAAAAAGAGCAAAUGAAUAUGGGGAGCGAAUAUGUUAAUGAAGAUUUGUUUGGUUUGGAAGAUGAAGAUAUUGGUGAGGAGAUUAAUGGUAGAACGAAUGUCACCAAAAUUUCUAGUGGAGGUAGUAACCGAGGAGGAAGUGGUGGUAGGACAUUUUCUUCAAAAAAACCAAGACAAAAAGGUCCUAUGGAUCAUUUUUUCACUCCUAAUGCAGAGAUGGUUGUUCAAAAUCGAAGGAGUGGAAAGAUGAAUCAAACUACCAUCAAUGAUGCCUACAAAAAGGAAGCAAGAGAAAGAGCUUGUAUGCUUGUCACAAGAUGGAUGUAUGAGGCUGCUAUUCCAUUUAAUGCAGUCACAUAUCUGAGUUUCCAACCAAUGAUUGAGGUUAUUGGCCAAUAUGGUGUGGGUAUGAAGGGACCAACUUUUCAUGAGGUAAGAGUUACUAACCUUAAGAAAGAAUUGGCUCUCACAAAAGAUUUGAUGAAAGAUCAUAUGGUGGAAUGGGGGAAAAAUGGAUGUUCAAUUAUGUCGGAUGGAUGGACUGAUAGGAAAGAGGGAACUUUGGUGAACUUUUUGGUUAAUUGUUCAAAGGGAACCAUGUUCAUGCAAUCCAUUGAUGCUUCUUUAAUGAUUAAGAUGGGAGAAAAGAUGUUUGAGUUACUUGACAAAUGGGUAGAGCAAGUUGGUGAGGAGAAUGUUAUUCAAGUUAUAACAGAUAAUCACUUAAGUUAUGUGAUGGCAGGUAAUAAAUACUAUUUCUUGAAUUUUUAUUUACUUUUAAAAUUUGAAUUAUUUAUCUUGAGAAAUUAUGUAAAUUUAUUAUCUACAAUGUCAUAUAGGAAGGUUGUUAGAAUUAAAGCACCUACAUUUGUAUUGGACACCAUGUGCUGCACAUUGCCUUGACUUCAUGUUGGAAGAUAUUGGAAAGCUACCAAACAUCAAGAGGACAUUGGAGAGGGCUAUAUCACUAAAUCUGUAUAUUUAUAAUUGCUCAGGGCUACUCAACAUGAUGAGGCGGUUUACUGGACAAAGAGAAUUGCUUAGGCCUACUAAGACUCGGUUUGCAACUGCUUUCAUCACAUUAUCGCGAUUGCAUGAACAAAAAAACAAUUUGAGGAAGAUGUUUACAAACUCGGAUUGGUCAGAUAGUAAAUGGGCAAAAGAGCAGAAGGGGAAAGCUAUAGCCAACAUAGUUCUAAUGCCUUCAUUUUGGAACACUAUUGUGUUUUGCUUAAAGGUUUCAGGUCCCCUAGUUCGUGUGCUUCAUUUGGUUGAUGGUGAAAAAAAAGCUCCUAUGGGAUACAUCUAUGAGGCCAUGAAUAGAGCUAAUGAUACAAUUGUGAGAAGUUUUAAUGGAAAUGAAGAGAAGUACAAAGAAAUCUUCAACAUCAUUGAUAAGAGGUGAGAGAUUCAGCUUCAUCGGCCUUUGCAUGUAGCAGGGUACUUUUUGAACCCGAAAUUCUUCUAUGAUAAGCCAGAAAUAGAGCAUGAUGCCAAGAUUAUGAGUGAUUUGUAUAAAUGCAUCUUAAGGCUAACAAGAGACCUUGCUAAGCAAGAAAAAGUUGUGGCCGAAGUGAGUUUGUUCACAAAUGCCCAAGGACUAUUCGGGAAUGAGUUAGCUGUUAGGACAAUAAAGACUAGAGCACCAGGUUAGUUAUUUAGUUUUGUUUAUUUAAAUGAUUAGAUUGUAUUUUUGCUAAAAUAGGUGAAUUGUUUAACUAAAUUGUUAAUAUCUAUACUAUAGCUGAAUGGUGGGCUGCAUAUGGAGCUUCAGCUCCAAAUUUGCAAAAGUUUGCAAUGAAAGUCCUCAACUUAACAUGUAGUGCAUCAGGUUGUGAACGGAAUUGGAGCAUCUUUGAAAAUGUAAGUGACCAAAUCCAAAAUAAUUACAAGUAAUAGUCUAAUAGAGUCUUGAAUGUAACUUAAAAGUUAAAACUUUAAAAUAUAUUUAUGAGCUUAUGAAUUUUUGCAGAUUCAUAGCAAGAGGAGAAAUAUGUUAGAUCAUCAACGCUUGAAUGAUUUAGUGUACAUUAAGUAUAAUCGAGCGUUGAAGAGAAGAUACAAUGAACGUAACACCAUUGACCCAAUUUCCUUGAAAGAUAUAGAUGAUAGCAAUGAAUGGUUGAUAGGGAGAAUGGAAGAUGAAGAUUCUCAUGGAGGUGCACAAGAUGAUUUUGUAUUUGAUGAUGAUAAUUUGACAUGGGGUGAUGUUGCUAGAGCUGCUGGAGCUGAGAAGGCCAGGUUUGAUACUAGAGCUAGGGCUAGAGCAAGCUCAAGCAUAAUACCACCAACAAGGGGGAUAGCUUCAAGUUCUAGAACUUUGCCUUCUCAUUCACUAAUAAAUGAAGAUGAAGAUGGAGACAUGGUUGAUUCAGCAGAUGAAGAAGAUGGGGAAGGCUACAAAUGUGGUGAUGGAAAUGAUGAUGAUGAUGAUUUUGUUGAUUUAGAGGAGGAGUGAUGAUUGCUUGUUGUGGACAAAUUUGUGAUUUAAGUGUUUUUAAUGAUGUUUUUGAAUUGUGGACAAAUUUCAUGUUUUGGACCUUUAGGUUCGGAAACUUUGGAUUUGGAUAUGUAUUAGGCAAUUAGCAAUAUGGAUUUGGAUUUGUUUUUAUGCUUGGAGUUCUUUAUUUUUAUGUUUUUUGUUUAUUAAAUUGAAGUUUUGGAUGAUAUUUGAUGAUUUAUGUGUUUAGGACAAAUAAAUGAUUGUUAAAUUUGAUUAUAUUAUAUAAAAAUAUAUAUGUAAAUUAGGGUGCGCCUCACUUCACUAAAGCCCGCACCUUAGAUGCGCCUUGCGCCUCAGGCUCCAGGACUACUUUGCGCCUUGAGCCUUUUAAAACUAUGGAGAAAUACUAGAGUGAUUACACAUUCCCUAUCGAUUAGGUAACUAAUGAUUUAGGCAAGUGGUAACAAGUAUUUUCAAUAAAGGUACCAUAAUAUCUCAUGAGUUUGAUAUAGUAUGCCCCCCUUGAAUAAUCCUUAAGACUUAUGAUCAUGAAAUCUAUGGUCAUAACAACCCUUUUAGUGGAAUUUGACAUGUCAUUUAUGAACAAAGGGAUAGAGAUAAGUAACAACGAAGGGAUCACCUACAUAGGCUAAGAGAUAGACUUUUUUUACCAUGGGAGUAGGAGCAAGCUUAACUUGAUCCAUAUAAGCUUUGUGGAGGAUCUCAAUGAUGUAUUUUUGUUGAGAUAAAAUAACACCUUAAAAAGUGAAAGUGAGUUCAAGCUUAAGGAAAUAGGAUGAGGUCCCAAGAUCUUUCAAGGCAAAUAAGGCUUGAAGCUGCAUGAUGAAGUGCUACACCUAAGUAGAAGAGCUCUCAGUGAUGAGAAUAUCAUCCAUAUAGAUAAAGAUGUAGAGAGAGUGGCUACCUUCAAACUUGAGGAAGAGAAAAAUAUCAACUUUGGAAAAGUGAAAUCCAAGUUGAUGAAACAAAAGGUGGAUGCAUUCAAACCAGGCCCUAAGGGCCUGCUGGAGUCUAUACAAAGUGUGAUGGAGUUUGCAUACCCAACUAAGAUGAGAAACGUCAAUAAACUCAGGAGAUUGGACCAUAUAGAUGUCUUUCUUAAGAAUGUCAUUAAGGAAGGCAUUGUUAAAAUCAAGUUGUCGCAUAAGACAUGUGAGAGAUGACAAAGCUAGAACCACCCAAAUUGUUGUAGGUUUGAUGACAAGACUAAAAGUAACAUGAAAAUCAAAACCCAAAACCUAGUGAAAUCCUUUAGCCACCAACCUCGCCUUAUACUUAUUCAUUUAGCCAUCUAAAUUUUGUUUGACCUUGAGUACCCAUUUAUAACCUACAACUUGACAAUUGGAGGGUGGUGGAACCAAGGACCAAGUGUUAUUGGAGCAAAAGACCUAGAACUCCAACUCUAUAGUGGCACGCCAUUCAAUGAUGGAUAGGCUUCAGAAAUUGAAUGAGGGGAUAGAGGAGAUGAAGAGAUACAUGUGGAUAACAAUGUUUUUGGUUUGAAAAUGUUACACUUGGAGUGGGUGAGCAUGGGAUGUGUGUUGUGAGAAAUUGAAAAAAAAAGAUGUAGUGACAACAUUUCUUCCCAUCAAAACUAUGGUGCCUUUAUGAUCAAUUUCUUAAUACCAUUAUAAAAGUUGUACAAAAUGAAAAUGUGAGGAAAAAGAGAUUUUUUGUGAAGGCUCCAUAUCAUUUGUUGUUCAUUUUACAACACUAUUGUCUUUUAUAUGCAGUUUUGUUAACUGAAAUAUAUUCUAUAAUUGACUAAACAGAUCCCUAGUUAUCCCACGCAUUGUGAAUCUUUAUUGAUGUUAGCUUCACAUGACUUUGCUAUUCCAUGUGAUCUUCCACUAAGGUUGCUAAAGUCAUCUUCUUGACAAUAACAAAGUAAUUUAUUCCCUUUCAAGUUUUUCUUUUACCAUCCUUAUCUAGAUCAAUAAUUAGGGAUGGUGAUUUGUUUGUCAAUUGGAUCACAAUGCAUAUCAAACCAACAUGUCUAUUUUCAUUCAAUGUCACCUCUUGUUGAGAUGUAGGAGAUUUUACUAUAAUACAUUAGUGGUCUGUUUUGUAUUGGCAAAGACUCUUUAUAAUUACUAUUAACUAUAGUAUAAGUAUUUGUGAAAGCUAUUUAUAAUUACUAUUAACUAUAAGUAAACUUAUUGCAAUUAAGUUAACGACUAUAUGGGUACGAUAUCUCUCAUGCCUUAUGAAUGAUGGUUGAGAUUUCUAAAUGGGUGAGAUUUCUUACUGUUAAUUGAUCAUACAAUCUUAUAAUUGGGUUUGUUAAAGAUGUUUCUUUAUAAUUGGGUCAUUGAUAAUUGUUUUGGAAGGUUGAUACAAAUUCGAUAAAGCUAAAGAAGCAAAGGGCACCCUUCAAUUGAUUAAGCCAGUAAAUUAAACAAGUUUAGGCAAUUGGAUUCAUUAAGGGACGAAUUGGGUUUGUUUUGCCAUGCUAUCAUAGGAAUAAUAUGGAUUGAAUUAAACUAUCCUAUCGUUGUAAUCGAAACGAAACCAUUGAGGAAUAUAAAUCAAUCUCCAUUCAUACCCUAAUAAAAUUCUAAAAAUAAAUAAUUAACUUGCAUAUUUAACUUAAGCUUAAUUGAUGCUCCUUGAGGUAUGAUUGAAAUUAAUUUAUAAAAAUUUUAAAAUAAAAUUUCAGCUUAUUAUUUAAAAAAAUUAAAACUUAGCAAAAGGUUAAGUAAUAAUUUAAAUGAUUUUAUAGAAAUAAUUUAAGACUUAAAAAUAGCUUAAUACAUAAAUUAAAAAGAUUGCCUUUUUCAGUUUAUAGAAAAAUUUAUUUGAUGUUGAAUAAAUACCAACAUUAAAGGUAAGAAAAAAAUUAAGAUAAAGAUUCUAUUUAUACCAAUUUUCUCAAUAAUUCCAAAAGUUUGAGACCGUGUUCAAACUUGAUGUAAAUCUACCUAAAUACCAUCAUCACUACCAUUAAAUAUACGUGACCAUCGUCUAUAAAAUUUAUUUUUCAAAAAUAGUUUAAAUAGAAAAACUUUAGUUAGUGUGUUAACUAAAAAUAUAAAUUUUAUAUAGGGAAUAUUACAUCAAACCACAUAGUAAAAUUAGUCUCUCAUUUUAAUUUUAUCCCAUCAGUAGACUUUAUCACUCAUACAUCAAUUUUGUUCCAUGAACCGUUCCAUCCUUUUAUCCUACAUCUCAGCGCACCCAAUCACACCUCCAAUCCACCCACAGCCACACCCACAGCAGCCAGCGGUUCCACCGCAAGUGGUUCUUCGCAUAAGCUUCCCAUAUUCAUCACGAGAAACACACAACCAAUUAAUAAAUUCUGAUUAAUUUAAAAGAUAAAAAAUAAAAAAAUAAAAACGAUAUAAUCCAAGAAAAUCCACCACAGGGGUGUUUUUGGGCUCCCGAGCGCUAGCUCUCAGAUCUGAAGUUCUAACCCAAGAAUCCCAGGUACUUUUUGUUUCAAUCUCUUCAUUUCUUGUUAUAGUUGGUCUAUAAAUUUUCAAAUUUCUAAUUUUGUGAGAAAGGAGGAAGAAACCAAAUAUGGGUGAAAAAUUUUGGUUGAAUGAAGAGGAAAAGGCUAUGGUGGAGUCAGUAUUGGGUGCAGAAGGGUGGGAGUUUUUGAUCUCGUGCGCUUCUGAUAAAACCCAUUUGUCAGAAUCGGGUGUCGCAUCCAGUGAUGGUGGUGUCCAGAAGGGGCUUCGUCAGCUUGUUGAAGGGUCUAAUUGGAGUUACGCCAUAUUCUGGCGUGUUUCGAGGGUGAAGGAUGUGUUGAUUUGGGGUGAUGGAUAUUGUAGAGAGGCAAAAGGGGAGGUUGGUGAUGGUGGUUUGGAGGAAGUGGGGAAGAAGAAGGAGGUGCUGAAGAAGCUUCAUGAGUAUUUUGGGGUUGGGGAGGAGGAUAAAUACUGGGCUAAAUUGGAUUUGUUGUCAAACAUCGAGAUGUUUUAUCUUACUUCGAUGUUUUAUUCGUUUUCGGGUGAUUUGCAGUAUGGCCCUGCUCUGGUGCUUAAGUCUGGGAGAUGGGUUUGGGUUGUUGAUGCAGUUGGUUGUUCAGAUCAGUAUCGGGCAAGGUCGGUUUUGGCAAGAUUGGCAGGGUUUCAGACAGUUGUGUUUGUGCCAGUGAAGGAUGGGGUGAUUGAGGUUGCUUCUUUAAUGUUGGUUAAGGAGGAUGAGAAUGUUGUGAAGAUGAUUAAGGGUGUAUUUGGGGGGAUGAAUUUUGGGCAGGCGAAGGUGUAUCCAAAAAUAUUUGGGCAUGAACUUAGUCUUGGUAGUGGGGCAAAGUCACGGUCAAUGAGUAUUAAUUUUGCCCCCAAGUUGGAAGGGGAUUCAGGGUUUGGUGCAGAAUCAUAUGAUGUCCAAGGCUUGGGUUCAAAUCAGGUUUAUGGGAAUUCCUCUAAUGGGUGUAUGAAUGAGGAUAAUGAGGGGAAAAUAUUCCCUCAGCUCAAUCAAAUAUUUAAUGCUCAAGUAUUGGUUUCUGGUUUUGAGCAGCCUAAGGAUGACUUGUUGCCUAGGGUUGAUGAACGAAAACCUAGGAAGAGAGGAAGGAAGCCAGCUAAUGGGAGAGAAGAGCCAUUGAAUCACGUGGAAGCUGAGAGGCAGAGGAGGGAGAAGCUUAACCAAAGGUUCUAUGCAUUAAGAGCUGUUGUUCCUAAUAUAUCCAAGAUGGAUAAGGCCUCGUUGCUUGGUGAUGCCAUUUCAUACAUUACUGAUCUCCAGAUGAAGAUUCGGAUAUUGGAAGCUGAGAAGGAGAUUGUAAACAAUAAGCAAAACCAAUCACCUGUGCCACAGAUCGACUUUCAGGAUAGGCAGGAGGACACAGUUGUAAGAGUUAGCUGUCCCUUGGAUGCUCAUCCUGUUUCUAGAGUCAUAAAGACGCUUAAGGAACACCAAGUUGUAGCUCCAGAGGCUGAAGUUUCCACUAUGGAAAAUGAUAAGGUCCUUCACACGUUCUCCAUUCGGACUCAAACUGGUGCUGCCGAGUGCUUGAAGGAGAAGCUGGUAGCUGCCCUUUCAAAAUGAUUUGUCUGUAGAUUUUGCGUUUGUAAGAUGAAUUCUAAUGAAUGAUAUACAUCGUCCUGCUGAAAUUCGGGAUGUCUUGUUAUUGACUAACUAAUGUGUGUGUCUUCCUUUGUUGUUAAUUGUUUCUUAUCUGGCUCAGAUUGAUUGCUUCCUUUCAAAGUGAUCUGACUGUAAAGUUGUGUUUGUAAGAUGAUAUCAAUGCAUGCUAUGCAUUUCCCUGUAGAAAAACAUGGAAACACAUCGUUGCUGGCGAAUUGGUGUUUGGUAUUUGAUAUUUAAUGAGUUCUAUAUGACUUCAGACUGCUCAUUCAAACUUCUUCAGCCAAUUUUGUGAUAUUCAAAAACAGAGUAUGUUCUGUGAUAUCUAUGCAUUGUUCAACACUAUAAAGUUCAUGAAGCUGAUUAAGGAAUGUAGAGGCGGCAAGAUUACUAGGGAAAACCUAUACCGGUAAUUUCUUCUUGACCUGAAGCAUCUUGAUUAAACUAAGGAUAGUUUGCAUUUCCUCUUGAUUGACCAUUCCAUUUAUUGGCUUCCUACUCAAGUCUACAUUUGGAUACCUAUUUUGAUUAUUUGGAUACCUAUUUUGAUUAUUUGGAUACCUAUUUUAAUUACUCUGGUCUACAUUUGGAUACCUACAUUUGGCUUCCCAGUCGGGUUUUGAGGGUUUAGGGUUUGGUUCUUACACAAUAAUACACAAGAAAUGGAAACUUUGCUUAUUUGCUUUCAAGAAAUUGAAAAUUCACUAGGACUAAAUUUUCUGCAUCAUUGUUGUUUCUUUUUUAAUUUAUUUUCAAUUGCCAAGAAAACCAAAAUGAAACAAAAGAAGGGAAAAUCAUUGCAGCAUCAAGAAUCAUGAUAUGAUUCCCAAGAGAUUGAAAAAAAAUUUUCACUAAAUCUUGUGCAAAAAUUGCUAUGCUGGUAUUGCCUUCAUUUUGCCUCAAGUUUAGAUUUUCCUUCUCUUUUUUUUUUUUUUUUGUGUCGCCGUGUCUGAUUUCUUGUUCUAUUAGGAGUGAUAACAAGUGAUUUAUACUUUUGGGAAACCGAGUAUCGGUGAUAGUGGAUAUCUUUGGGGUUUAUGACUUAUGCUUGGUUUAUUACAAAACAUAAACAUGAGAGAGAACAAGAGUAUACUUAUUGCUUUUUCAAAUUCUUAAAGUGAGUUUAUGUUUAGCUUCACCCAUUUAUGAUUUUUUUUUUUUAUAAGAGACGAGAAACCGAGAGUUUGAUUGCUAGAAGAGUGGUAGACCACACAAACUUUUAUCUCAAACUCAGAUGGUAGCCCCACUUAAUGCAGAUGAUGCAAUUUACUAAGGUGUACUCCUACUUCUCUACUCUUCUUAAUUCAUCUUCUCUGCAGAGUGAAUAUAUUUUCUUUGUUUUUGAAUGCUUAUGAAACUUACCUUUUUGAACAAGUAACACAAUCAUUUUUCAUGUAAUAGUUCAUUGAACUAUUGAGUAACCUAAGUACUGUUUCAGAAGUCUAGGAAUUCUUUUUGUUUGGUAGGUCAUGGGAUCUUGUUGUCUUUAAUGAUAUUGUGUUGAACCCAAGGGUGGGUUUGUAGUUCUUAAAAUUGGUAAUAGCUUCAUAGUAUGGAAAUGAGAUUUUUUUCAUGAUGCGACCUGGAACUGGAAUCUUGUAAUACUGUUUCCGAACUUUGUAGUAAUUAUAUGUUAUAUAUUUUAGAAAUAUUUUUAUAAAGGAGCAAAGAAAAAUUACAAUCUUUUCUCGACUUUAAAUGAUAUUCAUUCUGAAAUUCUUUCUUUUCAUCAUAGUAAUUUUUUUAUUUUUUUUUUAUGAACUUGUUGGUGUUACGAAUUUGUUGCAAGUUUCCUCAAAAUCUGGCAGUAGGAAUUUGCAAACUAGGUGUCAUAAUCAAAUAAUACUCAUUUAAAAAAAUUAAGGUUCCACGAGGGCAUAAAUUGUUUGACUUCAACAAGAUGCCCAUAAAAUAUGUAGAUGCCUCGCCUCUUUGAGAUGACUUUUCCUGUUCCAAGCCAAUUUACUUGGCAUACUGCAACAAGUUAUGGAAAUUGGUCCCGCAUCUCACUAAUCAAUCUUUUCAUGAAUACUUCCCUUAAUAAAUACUUUUAAAUAAUUGAAUGCAAAAAAUAAGUAAUAAAUAAAAACUAUUUAAAUUUUAAAUUCUUUCAUAUAUAGAAACAUUUUUAUAAUUUUAAAUUCAAUAUUAACAUUUUUAUUUUAUGGAAGCCUUUAUGAUUUCUCAUAAUAAAUUUGAAUGACCAGAAUUACUUUUAAAAUGAAGUAAAAGAUGGUGUGAUUGAUUCUUUUAUGCCAUUGUUGUAAGUAUGUUAUGCUUAUAAAACUAUUUUGGCACUUGAUUUAUAAUCCGUGUGGUAGUAAUUUUAGAAAGCUCUUUUAAUAUUUUUAAUACUUGAAAAUUUUUAUCAUUUAAGUGUUAGAAAAGUUAAAAAUGUUUUCUAAAAUCACUCCCAAAUGCACUCUUAUUAUAAGUAAUUUUGUUUUGGUAUCUUGAAUUAGAUUGAACUAGAUGGCACGAGAGUCACACAUAAUAUUUUGUUGGUUAUUAUCUCAAUUUGUGUUACUAUUAUGUUAAAAGUACAUUUUUAUCGUUCCAUUUCUUUUGAAAAAGAUUCAUAUCAAAUUAUUUUAUGUUUUAUUGUAUUUUGUCAGUUAACUAAUUCAUACCAAAGAAAAAGUACACAUAAUGUUCUUGUUGUUGAAUACAUAGUGGUGGAUUUCACCAAUUGUGGUAAAUAGAUUACAGACCUACUAUCUGUAAUUCUUUACAAGGUUUUUAACAAAUGAGAAAGUCACAUGAUGAGAUUGUACUUACCUUCACUUCAGUUGCAAGGAUAGUUGUAUUGGUUUGUAGGAGGUAUUACAUCUUUUAUAUGAGAUUCCAUUAUUACUUUGCUAAGAAAUGAGAAUAGUUAACUCUCACUAAAAAAAAAAGAACCUAGCACUAAUUAAACAUUUGGACUUUAAAGCCUAGGUUAUUUUAAUCUAAAUAGGAUCCAAAGACUGGUUAGCUCUAGACAUUAUGAUUCCAGAGGUUUGUCAAUUUAUGAAUCCUGUAUAGAUGGUAAAAAUGACUAAUAAAUCUUUUAUUACUAAAUGACAUAGAACCAAUGAAUGUUUGGAAUUAGUGCAUACUUAUGUGUGUGAAAUUUUUGGAGUUCAUACAUAGAGAGGGUAUGGGUACUUUAUUAUUAUUUUUGUGAAUAUCGAAUGGGAUUGUUCAAAUCCUUUAAUAUAAUGGGGUAUAGUGUUGACAUCUUAGAUCUAAGCAAUAGAAGCAAUAUCAAAAUUUAAAAAAUUAAUCUUUUUGUGUUAAAGUACUUACCUUUAGGUUUGGAUGAUUUAAAACAUUGAAUCCAAGUAUUAAAAAAUUGAUAGAAGACAAAAAAUUGAUGGAAACCCUAACCCUAUGGGGUAUUUAUAGGGUUCCUAACUAGGCUUAAGUGACUUAAUAUGUUUACUAAAUGGGUUAUCUGAUUUUACCUUAAGUUCAUUAAAUUUAUCCGAGGCAUCAAAUUUUUUAUGUACUAGGUACACAUAUCUAAACUUAGAGUAUACUCAAACAAUAAUUUUGGUUAUUUCGAAUGAUAGAGUUUAGGAAUCUUGAUUGCAGAGAAGUUUAAUACAAAUGUGGUAAUAUUCCCUAAAAACAUUAUAACGAAAUAUGAUGUGAAAAAAAAAUCGAUUUGCUAUAGGAACUAAGAUGGAUACUGCACAAUAAUUUUGGUUCCUUCGAAUGAUAGAGUUCUAAAAUCUUGAAGGCAGAGAACUUUAAUAAAGAUGUGGUCAUAUUCCUUAAAAUCAUCAUAAUGAAAUUUGGUGUCAAAAGUGAUCAUUAAAAUUCUUGAAUAUACUUUAGUAUUGUCUUGCUCAAAUAUAGUAGCAAACUAGUUUUUUUUGCACCAAAAUUCGUUAUGAUGAGGUUAAGGAAUAUAUUCACAUCUGUUGUAGCUUUAUUCCAUGUGAAGGUUUUGAAAACCCUAUAAUUCGUUAUGAUUUUAUUUUGCACAAAAUUUUGUUAUGAUGUUGUACGCACAAAUUUUGUAAAAUUUUGGUCCUGCAAAAAUUAGCAAAAUAAAAUAGGAAAAAUAAUGUGAACAAAUGAUUUAUUAAAUUUAAGAAUAUUACGGGUAUAAUCUCAAAAAAUAAAAUAAAAUUCUUUCCAACAAAGAGUAUUUUCCUUCUGAUUCUUUUGCUUUGAUCACACUUUGGAAGACGACAAUGACGUUUUCUUGAUUUCAAAGGUCAAUCGAUGGUCACAAGUGGCUUAUUCCCGAAUGACCUUGUUGAAUGACAAAGAACGAGUGUAUUAGUUCUUUUACCGCUUACUAAACUUGUAGGGAGAUUUGAUGAAACUCUUUCUUUUAUUGUGAAGCUCCUUUUCCCGUACGAAGUUACCUUUAAAUUUUCUCCUUAGGAUUUUCCUUUCUGGAAAUUUUCUCUGAUUUCUGAAUUUUCUCUCCCCUCUUUCUUGAUGGAAGACACCUCUAUUUAUAGGUGAAGAUAGGUAAUUUGAAUUUCAAAUUCCCCAAUUUUAGUUGCUUAAUUCAAGGGAUUUAGUUCCUUAAUUUUAGCAAAUUUUCUUCUCCGGGAGGUUUUACCAACAAGAUAAUAAUAAUAAUAAUAAUAAUUUUCUUAUUAUUAUUAUUAUUAUCCUUUUUAUAGUUGGAAAUAAGAGAGACUUAUCCAUAAGAUGAUUUUUUUUUUAGAAGACCAAAUUAGUGGUAAUUUAAUCCACUAAUUUUUUUAUGUCUACAAAUGUCCCCACUUCAAAACGCAUCACGUACAUGCAUUGUCAUGUGGAUGGGGUGAGUCUUGAAGUAAUAAUUUUUUUUUUUUUUUUUUUUUACACUUUAACUUUUUCCAAGACUAAAAAAAGAUUUAAUCUUGCGAGCAUAUGUCCUAACUUUUGCCUAAGUCGCCUUUUCAAGUUUUCAACUUAGCGAACUUUUUAUUUUAUUUUUUUUUAUUUUUUAUUUUUUUAUGCGUCGUACGCAGUUUAUGCUCAUGCGGGCCAAGAACAUCACUUGUCUUGAGUUUGAUCGAAGGAUGAUAAACUCACGUCCUUGGAACAAAGUUUAAUUGAAGGUCAAGAUGACUUAUUUUCAACCAAACUUGUAAAGACCUUUCUUAAGCAUUUUGGAGAACAAAGAAGUCAUUUGUCUUGAUUUUCUUCAGUCUUAAAAGUGGAUGAAUGACACUUUUGUAUUGUGUUUGGUAUUCUUCCACGAGCUUGUUAAAGAAUGUGUCAAGCUUGGACUUGAUUUUAAUCCAAGAGUGGUAACCACAUGUUUUUGGAGCAAAAUUUAAAUGAUGGUCAAUGAUGACUUGAUCUUAAGUAAACUUAUCAACAAUUUCCUCAAGUGUUUUGAAAAACCCAAUCUUUGUCUUCUUUAACUUUGAAGGUGGAUGAAUGACACUUUUGUUUGUGUUUGAUAUUCUUCCACGAGCUCGUUGAAGAAUGUUUGGAGUUUGAUUUUGACUUUUGAAGCUUCAUUUGGAUUUAGCCUCUAAGUUGCAUCACCAUUUGAGAACGUGUCAUGCUAAAAGAAAAUAACACUUGUAUGUAGAGAAGUUGGAGAUUUUAGUUUGGAAUCUUCGAAUUUGACUUCUUUAAUGUAAAGAGUCUAUUUCUUAGUUUAAGAAGUUUGCCAAUAUUUUUUUAUUUAUUUUUUAUUUUUUUACUACAAUUUAAGCUCUUGUAGGAUAGGAGAAAUAUGUAGUUUAGGCUCAUGCUUUAAUGAGCAUCACUAGAAUGCCGAGGUUUGAAAACAAUUGUGGUAAACUUUGAUGUUAUGCUCUUUUCAUUGCUGCUGGUGUAGGUGAUGUUUACACAGCAUGUUGCACAAUCGUGGUCUUUGUCCUUAAAUCGUUUUAUCCCCUUUAUUUUUAUGGCAUAGAGUGAUGGAUUCUUAAGUACCUCAUCAUUUUCCUUGGUUUUGCUUGGCUCUGCACCAAAAGCGUUUUCUUCAUCUUUACCUGACUCAUCUUCUUCCGAAAUCUCAUGACAAGAGACCAUAUGAGUUGAUGUCACCAUCCCUCUAUUGAAGAACUCCAGAGGGAAGUGUUCUCCUAAGGUGAUAGGGGUGAUGAGCUUUUGUGCCAAGAGGUCAUCAACCUGUACAAUCGUUUGUUUUCUUUUAGGUUUCUUUUCUUCUUUCUUCUUCGCAUAUCGAUGAAUAUUUUGCUUACGUUGUUCCUUCCUAGGAAGAUUUGGGUAGGGAUGAGAUUCUUGCUUCUUGUGAGGUCUUUUCCGUGUCACCAAUGUCCAACCUUCUUCGUUAUACGACAUUGAUUUAUUCUCAAAAUGGAAGUGACGAAUGGUGUCUUGACAUGACACUUGUGUUUGCUUUGGUUUCGUUGACUCACAUUAGAUAGUAUCGGCGCAUGCCCCCAGUGUCUUAGGUGGAACAUGUAACAAAACAGGAUCAAGGGACCCAAAUGUGACUGUAGCAUGAUUUGACUCUACUACUUCAUCCAGAUCCAGAUGAAUUCUUCCUUGUUUUGCAAGUUUCAUUAUAAGAUCUUUUAAGAUGAAACAUUUCUCCACUGGGUGACUGAUGAUUUGAUGGUAAUGAUAAUAAUUCGGAUCAUUAACACGACCCAUUUCUUCUGGAUGCUUGCACUUAGGUAGCUUAAUAACCAUUUUCUGGAAUAGGUCUUCCAACAUGCUAGGCACAUCAGAGUCAGGAAAAGGAUACUUCUUCUCCUCUAAUUCCUUUAAGCUUAACUGACACCUCUCAUUUUCCUGGGUUAGUCUAGCCUCUUUUAUUUCCUUUUUUUUAUCUCGCAUUGAGAUUUUGAUAGGAGUUGCAUUACUGUCAUGGACUCUUGGAUGGGUUUUAUUGAAUUCUUAUCACUUGCUUUCCCAUUGUGUCUUUUUCUUUACUAGUCAAUGAUAAGGUCCUUUUUAGCAUCAUGGUUGGCUAUGCUAAGCUCCAUGUCAUGUGCUCGGGUAGCUAACUCUUCAAAGGUCCAGGGUCGUAUCCCUUGGAGAAUGUAUAGGAGACCCCAAUGCAUUCCUUGUAUGCACAUCUCCACGACUGAUACCUCAUAUAAUCUAUCUUUGCAGUCGAGGCUUAAGGAACGCCAACGGUUGAUAUAGUCUACAACCGGUUCAUCUUUCCAUUGCUUAGUGUCAGUAAGUUCCAUCAUACUUACAGUUCAUCGGGUGUUAUAGAAACAGUUGAGGAAUUCACGUUCCAUUUAGUCCCAACUAUCGAUACACUCUGGUGCAAGGUCUAUGUACCAGUCGAAAGCAUUCCCUUGAAGAGAAAGGACGAAUUGUUUAACUAAUAAGUCACCAUCUGUACCUGCAUUGUUACAAGUUUCAACGAAAUGGACAUGUUGUUUUGGAUUGCCUUUUCCAUCAAAUAAUUGAAAUUUUGGAGGUUGAUAACCCAUGGGCAUAUGUAGGUUAUCAAUCCUCUUAGUGUAAGGUUUUGAGUACAUGAACAUACUCUGUGAGGAUCCAUCGUACUGCGCCCUAAUGGUGUUAGUUCUCAUGUCCUAAAGUUGUUGGACAGAUAAUGACGCCACUAAGGCAAAUUCCGUCGUUUGUCUUUUACCUUACAUUGUCCUAUAUGUAUGUGGUGCAUCAUCGAGAGGAGAUGCAACAUUCGAAGGGUGGUUGAGUCCGUGACUUGACUCACCCGUACUUUGUACUUGUGCCUCAACCUUGUUUAUGAGGGAGGUUAUCUGCAUAUCCUUCUCAUCAACCAUUUUGGUGAGUUUGGCGAUGGCACGGGCCAUUUCUACCAAUUGCUCCUCUACAGACGUAGUGCCCAUUGCCAUUACCGGCAUGGUCAACGAGAAGGGAAAAGUAACAGAGUUGGAAUGAUUGGAGUAGUUUUCCUCCUUUGACAUUCCAAUUAGCGACCCGAAGCAUGAGCCGGUGCUAGAGUUAGCAUCGGUAAUAGAGCAAGGAGAUUUAUCCCCAAAGUCCUGUAGUGUUGAAGGGAGUUUUCCCCUACUACGAGGACUAUGGCCCUUUGCCCCCAAAGAAACCAAGGUGAUGAGUGGUUGGUACUCAUCGCGUGUUCUUACCUGUUUUAGCAAACAAGCAAACUCACUUGUUUGUUUUGUUGAGAUUGAAGAUGUUGAUUUUGCUUUGCUAUGAGUCAUGGGGACCGUAGCGGUGUCAUGUGUCGAUUGUGCAAUGACGAUCAUGUCAUUGCCCUUGUUGACAUGCACAACUUAAGUUCUUUUGGGUGCCAUCGACGUAGUAGAGAUCAAAUUUCUAACAAAAGAUAUGAGAGGCAGAGAGGUCCCACCGGGCGUGCUAGAAAUUUGUAUGCACAAAUUUUGUAAAAUUUUGGUCCUACAAAAAUUAGCAAAAUAAAAUAGGAAAAAUAAUACGAACAAAUGAUUUAUUAAAUUUAAGAAUAUCGUAGGUACAAUCUCAAAAAAUAAAAUAAAAUUCUUUCCAACAAAGAAUAUUUUCCCUUUGAUUUUUUUACCUUGAUCACACUUUGGAAGAUGACGAUGACGUUUUCUUGAUUUCGAAGGUCAAUUGAUGGCCACAAGUGGCUUAUUCCCGAAUGACUUUGUUGAAUGACAAAGAACGAGUGUAUUAGUUCUUUUGCCGCUUAUCGAACUUGUAGGGAGAUUUGAUGAAGCUCUUUCUUUUAUUGUGAAGCUCCUUUUCCCGUACGAAGUUACCUUUAAAUUUUCUCCUUAGGAUUUUCCUUUCUGGAGUUUUUCUUUGAUUUCUGAAUUUUCUCCCCUCUCUUUCUUAAUGAAAGACACCUUUAUUUAUAGGUGAAGAUAGGUAAUCUGAAUUUCAAAUUCCCCAAUUUUAGUUGCUUAAUUAAAGGGAUUUAGUUCCUUAAUUUUAGCAAAUUUUCUUCUCCGGGGAAGUUUUACCAACAAGAUAAUAAUAAUAAUAAUAAUUUUCUUAUUAUUAUUAUUAUUAUUAUCCUUUUUAUAGUUGGAAAUGAGAAAGACUUAUCCAUAAGAUGAUUUUUUUUUUAGAAGACCAAAUUAGUGGUAAUUUAAUAUACUAAUUUUUUUAUGUCUACAGAUGUGUUUAAGGGAUAUGACUACAUUAGUACAGAAUUUUAUCGCCAUCUAGAUUUGGGAAGCCUAUUAGUUGUAGGAAUCAAAAUUAUUGAUUGGUUAUAUCAAAAUUGAUCCAUAAAAUUCUUUAAUAUAGUCUUGCUCUGUGGUAGCAAACUAGUUUUUUUCGCACAAAAAUUCAUUAUGAUAAUUUUCAGGAAUAUAACCACAUUUGUAUAAAUUUCUUCCCCAUCAAUAUUAUUAAACCCUAUAAUUCGAUAAAACCAAAAUUAUUAUUUGAGUAUAUCAAAAGUGAUGGUGAAAAUCCUUUAAUUUAUUAUGCUGUUGUUAUACUCGGUUUCGAUAACAAACUUAUUUUUUCGCAUGAAAUUUUGUUAUGAUGUUUUUAAGGAAUAUGACUAUAUCAAUAUAGAAUUUCUCCGCCAUCUAGAUUUGUGAAGCCUAUCAUUCGUAGGAAUCAAUAUUAUUAUUUGGUUAUAUCAAAAUUCAUCAUUAAAAUUCUUUAAUAUAUUGUAGUAUUGUCUUGCUCAGUUAUGGUAGCAAACUAGUUUUUUCCACACCAAAAUUCAUUAUGAUAUUUUCAGGAAUAUGAUCACAUUUAUAAUAUAUUUAUUCCCCAUCAAAAUUAUUAAACCCUAUAAAUCGAUAAAACCAAAAUUAUUGUUUGAAUAUAUAAAAAAUGACGGUUAAAAUCCUUUAAUAUAUUAUGUUAUUGUUUUACUCGGUUUCGAUAACAAAUUUAAUUUUUUUUCACACAAAAUUUUGUUAUGAUGUGUUUAUGGAAUAUGACCACAUAAGUACAAAGUUUCACCGCCAUCCAUACUUGGGAAGCUUAUCAGUUGUUGGAACCAAGGAUGAAAAUAUCGGUAAUCACGGAUAUAUCGGUAACUUGAUUUUACGGAUAUAUCAGAUAUAUCGGAGAAAUAUCGACGGAUAUUUUGGAAAAAAAAUUUUGAUAGGCAAAAAAUUGAUCAAAACUCAUAAAAAUGUAAAAAAAAAUCUCAUAACAAUGUAAUUAGAAGUAUAAUAGAUAAUUUAAAUUUAUUUUGUUGAAUAAUUUGAUAUAUAUAUUAUAUGAUUUGCGAUAUUAUAUGUAAUUAUAUUAUGUAGGUCAAUAAAAAAUAUGAAUUUUGUAAUUACGCAUUCAUUAUCAAGCUUCAUAAAAAAUUUGAUUUUAUUAAAUACAAAUAAUUUAUAUAUAUUAACUUGAUUUCAUUAAAUACCAAUAAUUUGUAUAUAAUAUCGCAUAGUUGGGUUCACUUUGGAUCGUUGGAUCACAUCCAAAUUCACUUUGGACCAUCACCAUGGAGUCAUGAUUUGUUUCCAUUUUUUUUUUUUUUUUUUUAUCUCUACUAAAUUUUUAAAAAAAUCAAAAGGCCACCCAUCCGAAAAGCCCUUUGCUGAAUACCUGCUUCUCUCACUCGGGCAUCAAAAAGCCCUUGGCUGAAGCUGCCCUCCGGACGAGAGAAUCGGCCCCAAUUUCCUCUUUCACUCUCAAUCCUCGCAGGUUCUAAUCUAAUCAUUUAUUACUUUUUUUUUUUUUUUGCAACCCCUGUUUGAUUCCCAAGAAAAUCCAUCCCCCAUUCAAUUUCCGGGAAAAUCCAUCCCCCAUUCGAUUUCCGAGAAAAUUCAUCCUCGUUUGAUUUCCGAGAAAAUCCAUGCAAAACCCUCAAGGAAAACAAAAAAAAAUUGCUUUUUUUUUUCUCCUUGUGUUUUCUGAUCUAUUCUAGGGUCGCUUUGCUUUUGUGCCAUUGGAUUUAAAAUUCACGAACCCUAAAUCCACGAUUUUUGAGCCAGGCUGAAAAACAACUUUGCCUGCAAGUCAUGAUCAGAUUACCAAGGAACAUCUUAUGUUUUUUAAAAAAUAAAAUAAAAAUUGGACAGAUUUUGUAUCCUGUGCGCAAGCUGGACUGGUAGGAAAUAUCGGGAAAUUUCUCGAAAAAUCGGCCAUACAAAUCGAAAUUUCACCAAUUUUUUGCUUGCAGCCAUGUUUCGGUGAUUUUUUCGCCGAUUUUAACAGAAAUUUGGCGAAAUUUCUCCCGUCGACAUGUCGCCCCCCUAUUUCGUAUCGCCGGCCAUCGAAACCCGAAAUUUCGGUGAAAUUUCCGUGAAAAAAAUGGAAACUUUCAUCCUUGGUUGGAACCAAUAUUACUAUUUGGUUACAUAAAUAGUGAUCAUUAAAAUUCUUUAAUAUAUUAUAGUAUAAUCUUGCUUAGUUGCGGUGGCAAACUAGUUUUAUUUUUGCACUAAAAUUCUUGAAUAUAUUGUAGUAUAGUCUUGCUCAGGUGUAGUAACAAAUUUUUUUUUUUUUGCACCAAAAUUUGUUAUGAUAUUUUCCGGGAAUAUAGACACAUUUGUAUUAAAUUUCUUCACCAUCAAGAUUAUUAAACUCUAUAAUUUGAUAAAACCAAAAUUAUUGUUGAGUACAUCAGUGAAAAUCCUUUAAUAUAUUAUGCUAUUGUGAUCCUUAGUUCUGGUAGCAAACUUAUUUUUUCGCACGAAAUUUUGCCAAGAUGUGUUUAAGGAAUAUGACCACAUCGAUUUAGAAUUUCUCCGAUAUCUAGAUUUAGGAACCCUACAUUCGUUGGAAUCAAAAUUAUUGUUUGGUUAUACCAAAAUUGAUCAUUAAAAUUCUUUAAAUGGCUGUAGUAUAGUCUUGCUCAGUUGUGGUAGCAGUCUAGUUUUUUUCACACCAAAAUUUGUUAUGAUAAUUUUCAGGACUAUGGCCACAUCCGUAUUAAAUUUCUUCCCUAUCAAGAUCAUUAAACCAUAUAAUUCUAUAGAACCAAAAUUAUUGCGUGAGUAUAUCAAAAGUGACGAUCAAAAUCCUUCAAUAUAUUACGUUAUUGUCUUGCUCAGUUCUGGUAGCAAACUUAUUUUUUUGGCACAAAAUUUUGCUAUGAUGUGUUUAUAGAAUAUGACCACAUUAGUAUAAAAUUUGUCAGCCAUCCAGAUUUGGGAAGCCUAUCAUUCAUAGGAAUCAAAAUUAUUGGUGGGUUAUAUCAAAAUUGAUCAUUAAAUUAAAAAUCUUUAAUAUACUCUAGUACAAUCUUACUCAAUUGUGGUAGCAAACUAGUUUUUUUUUUUCACUCCAAAUCCAACAGUUUGAUUAUUUUUUUUUUUUUCAGCAUCAAAACAUCGCCGUUUUGGAAUAUAUAAAACCUCCUUCGAAGCCCUCCCUCUCCAAACCGCAACCGUUGGCGCCCACCCCCAAUGUGCCGCAACAGGCUCUCACUGUCAGCUGUCAGCCAUUUCACCAUGCAAAAUCUCCCUCUUAACACCCCCUGCGGGCCCCAACGCCCCGCCGCCCCACCCCCCCCCCCCAGCCCGGGCCUACUGUUGUUUAAAUUCUUUAUCAAAUUGUAAAAUUGACGACUCCUUUAAUUUCAACUAUACUAUAAUUAAGUUUUAUUGAAUUAGUUUACAAAAAAAAUUAGUUUACACAAAAAAAAAAAAUCUUGAAUUAGAUUUUAAUAAUAAUGGUAAUUUAAACUAUAUUAUAAUUAAGUUUUAUUUAUACCAAUUCAUAUAUCAAGAACUUAAUUUUCAUUUAAUUAGAUAAAGUAUGAUAUUAGAAAAAGAAAAAGUAAACCUAAACAGAGAGAAAAAAAUGGAUGAGUAAUAAGAGAUAAAUUAAAAAUUGAGAGAAAUAAAUUAGGAAGUAAAUAAAGAAGGAUGGAAACAUUUAAAAUGAGUAUUCGAGGAAGGAAGGGGACUCAAGGUGGGAGAUUGGGAGCUGAUAAAGAAAAAACUAAAAUAUGUCUUAUGAGAUAUGAUUUAAUGGUAAAAUUAUUACAAUUUUAAAUAAAAAUUUUAUUUUAAAAUAUUUUUUAUUUAAAAAUAAAUAUUAAAAUUUUAAAUUUUAAAUUAAAAUUAUGAUUUUAAUUUAAAUUUUUAAUUUGAAACUAAUUUUCUGAUUUUCAAAUAAAAUUUUAAUUUUUAAAUAAUAUAUAAAUUAUUAUUUUAAUUUUUAUAAUUAUUUUAAAUUUUAAUAAUUUAUAAAAUAUAUAUUUAUGACGUCACAAAUUCAACCGCCGAUCCGACCAAUGAAUCGUGAAUCAGUAACUUUUCCGAUUCAAUGACCUAUCCAAUUCUAAAAAUAUUGAAAAUAUAAUAUAUUGGAAAUCAACCAUUGAUUACCAAUUGAGCAAAAAAUCACAAAAAAAUCGACAAAAUAACGGUGAUUCUCUAGCAACUUUUUAAAAAAUGCAAAUUUUUAUUAAAAAAAUAUUUAUAAUUUUUUUGUUUUUUUUAUAAAUUAUUCAUAUCUAAUUUAUCAUUUGUUUUAAAUUUAUAUCACACAUUUAUUUUAUAUCAUCCUUUUAAUUUUAACUACUUUUCAUAUUUAUCUCAUUAAUCCUAUUUUUUUUUUAAAAAAUUAUUACUUCAAUUUUAAUUUUUUUAUAUUCAUUCUUUUAAUUUUAUUUAAUUUUAAUAGAAGAUGAAGUUUACAUGGAAAUUCCCUCAGGAUUUGAGACCACAAGCAAUGCUAACAAAGUUUGCAAACUAAGAAAAUCACUAUAUGGCCUCAAAUAGUAUCCCAAAGCUUGGUUUGAUAGAUUCACAAGGGCAAUUAAAGAGGCACAAGUACUCAUGGGGAUAUAAAAAGAUUAAUUUACAAUAUGUUUUUUUUUUGUUUAAUUUAAUAGGUAAAUGAAAUGCCUUAUUGAAAGGAACACUUUAUUGAAGGAUAGAGGUUAAAAAAACAAAAGAGAAACAAACUAUUGUAGCGGUUGUGAUCAAACGAACACACUUACAACUUCAAAUAAGAUUUAAUCAAAAGCACCAAUUAUACAAACCUUUUGUGAAAACAAAAUGACAACUCAAUUUUCAUAAAGAUACAAAGGAUAUUACACAUAUUCUAACAAAUAGAUAAUCUAAACCCUAAAACACCUAACCAUAAACCUUAAGGAUUAAACUCUAAACUUUAAACCCUAAAACCUAUAAAUCGUAACCCUAAUUUUCCCUAGAACAAAAUUGGAAACAUAAUUAUAAAGAAAUAAUUCAAAUUAGACAGUCUAAUGGAAACAAAAUUUUAGAAUCUAAUAUGAAUAAAAAGAAAUGAAAAUGAGAUUCUAUGUUUUAUUUAUUUAUUUAUUAUCAGUUAUUGAAGAACUAACUAGAUCGUAAAGAAGAAUAGGAACGAAAUCAAAAUAUUGAAAUUAAUUAGUGGAAUGCUGUGCAGGAUCUUCAACCAAAGUUAUUCCCUAAACAACAUUUUAAACUUUGCUCAUAAACAAAUAGCAUAAUGAAAGAAAACAUCUAAGGAAGUUCAAAUUUCAGAAACUAAUAGCAAGAAAACUAAAAGGAUGUUAAAUAAAACAUUUCAAGAAGAUCAAACUUUAGAAACUAAUAUCAAGGGAACCAAAUUCAAGAUUCGGAUGCAUCACACCCAUUUGGCCUCAAAUGCAGAGACAUUGAAAGAAAAAGAAAAGGGAAAUGCCAAAUUUUCUUAAAGAAAUUGUACAAAAAAAAAAAAAACAAAGUCUAUAGAAAAUUACAUUUUCAGAAACUAAUGAGAAAAUCUAAUUCAAUUUUCUUACACUCUUCAGCAAUUCCUCCUCAACCACAAAUCAAAUCAAACACCUUGGAAAAACAAAUCAAUGGGAGACGAAAUCAAAGCCCCUAAAAUCCCUAGUUUUAUUUAAUUUUUCUUCGUGCUUUUCCUCCAAUUCAUCGAACAAACACAAGCCAGAUAAAUAUAUAUAUAUAUAUAUAUAUAUAUAUAUGAAAACGUACUCCAAAAAAAAAUCACAAUGAAAGAUGAAGUUAAAACCCAAAAAAUCCAACCCACCAAUUCCCAAGUUUAUUUAUACCCUAUCUCCAGAUGUCAAACCAAUUCAUGAGCAAAAUUCCAACCCCAAUCUGAAAACCAAAUCAACGGAAGUAAUCAAAACCCCAAAUCCAGUCCAUUCAGGGUGGAUUUCAGGUUUUUUUUUCAACUAUUCCUCAAAUCUCCCUACCCUCAUGCAAUAUACCACCAGAACAGAACCCAGAUCCAAAGAAACGAAAAAUUCAAACACGAGCCCAAGAAGACCUCCCAAAAAAAAUCCAAUUCAGAAAGAAGGCAACGUAAUCGACGGAGGAGAAAUCGUGAGCGUAGAAAAGGGAUAGAUUACCAAAAACGAAAACGGCAUAAUCUCCCUCGCUGCGUACAGUCAAGGUCGACUUCAGAGGGCGCCCUCUCGCUCUUUUUCUCUCCCCCUCCCGUCUCUCUGGAAAUUUUAGUAUUAUUUUUCGCAUUUUAUUUCCAACUUACCCAUGCCUUCUAGAGGUCUCCACAUAAAUUAAUCUGGGCGAAGCGUUGGGUGGUUAGUUAAAGGUUUUUGAAAGAUUGUAGAUGAAACAAUCAAGAACAAUUAAAGAUAACAUUU